rnacentral:lncRNA from 1 species
UUUGUGUUUGUGCAGGUACUUGUGACUUGACGCGAUCCUCCCACUGGAUCGAUACCUUGGCUCUCAAACUGAGGGAAAUACUUACCGCCGCUGUGCUACAUCACCCUUUCCUCUUCAAGGGAACACCAACGCAAGGCUCCAAGGCCGCGGGGAAAUCCUUUGCAUAUUUGCCAAGGAAGUCCCUAUAGGCGUAGCCCGUAGCAGCAGAAUUCCUAGCGCCAUUGCGAGGGAAGGUCUGUUGUCGCAGUAGCACAUACAGAUAACUCAGAUGAAUUAUGUGCGAUGAGCGAAAAUAACACAAACAAAUAACAUUAUUGCAUAACCAAAUUAAACAUGAAAUACAUAAAUGACUACACACAUAACAUUGGAACACCUCAAUAAACAAUUACACACAUAAAAACAUGAUUACAUAACCUAAUUAAGCAUCCAAAUACAUAAGUGACUACACACAUAACAUUGGCGCCCACCUCAAUAAACUAUUACAUGCAUAAUAAACUAUAAGAAACGAUCAUCAAAUCAUCUUCUUAUUGCGACGCUUGCCGCCAUCACUGUGCUUGCGGCUUGAUCCCUCAUCGUCUUCAGGUAGGAGGCACUUCAUCAUGUCAAAAAUCUGCGUGAACAUCACGUAGCAUGCGUAUGCUUCCUUGGUCGUGGUCUAGAUGUGAUAUUCAUCUGGUCUCUCACCCACGCCUUGUGCCAGACAAGCUUAUUUUUGUCGCACUCGGUCUUCAUGUCUCUGUAGUAGGGGUCAAUGAUGGCCACGACGAGGUCAACAUGGGAAUCCUUGUCCUUCUUGCUUCCCCAGACCUUGUAGUGGUCGUGGAUGUCGACAAGCUUCUAGCAUGCCUAGCCUGAAGUCUUGAGCACCUUUGGAUCGUUGGUGGUGUCCACCGUAGCAAGCCUGUAGUCGUGGUUGUUGACAAACCUCGUGAAACACUCGCAAGGCUUUGUGGCCAGGCAGUAGUGAUAAAGGAGGGCGUGAUGGCGCACGCACAACUGGGCAAGACAACCUUCUCAUCAUGCCCGGCACGACCACCGGUGUACGCGAGGUCGAAGCUGACCACUUUGUACUUGUCAUCUGCAGCAAGCAAUAGCUGCAUGGUGUUGAUGGAGUUCUCCACCACGGCCGGGUCGACGGUGUACACCAUCGUGAGGUCCGUCUUACUCAAGUGGGUGUCCACAUGAUGCACGCCGAACUCCAUUAGAGUGCCGCUUAUUGUGUCGUCGAGGGUGUGCUUAUUGUGUUGUGGGGUGCGAUCGAAAGCAUGAAGAGACUAUGCUUAGUGGCCGCAUGUAUAAAUGAGAGCGAGACGUCCUGGAAAACCGACAUGUCUGGAUGGCAGUUUUUGCAGCGCGUGAUUUACUCAUGGAGCACGUAACUGCAUGGGGCGACACAUGUGGCGCAACCGCAUGCAUAUGGAGCUCCGAACAUGAUUGAGGGCAGGCCCCAACCGUUGGCAGAGCAUGCACAGAGGGGCACGAGAGCAGAGCACGCAGAGGGAUGCGAGAGUAGAGCGCCACAAGGAACAUAAGGUCGAACCAAACCAUUUUGUAAUGUCCUUGUCAAGCAAUACGUCCAUAACAUAGGAGUUCUCCACCCAGAUCGGAUGGUUGGUGUACACCACCGAGAGCUCGGUACGUGAACCUUCUGUGCGUAUCCACUACGACAUGCAUGGUGAUCUCGCACUCGUCGUCGUCAGCCACUCGGAGGGCCAUUGGAGCCCUGCAAGAUACCCUCGAUCGUGGUUGUGCUUCUUAAGGUCGAGAUAUUAACCAUCAAUUGCAUAUUAAGGUCCAAAUACUAAUCGUACAUUGCACGCUUAGGAAAAUUGUACUACCAAAAUACGAGUCUCAUACGAUGUCAUUUGAAUGAUUGUAUCAUAAAUGACAAAAGUAGUACAAAAAUUCAAAUUCUAGAAUUACAAGGCUCAAACUCGAAGAUUACAAGGUUCAAACCGAUAAUAGAAAUGAAAUUCAGCUUAUGUAGAAACUUUGUCAUGCAGCUCGAGAUGCCCGCGCUGAUCAGCUGAACAUGAACACAUGAGAGGUUCAUGCUGAUGUUACAACUAGAUUCACAACUUCAAUAUUUCCGCAAAGGGAUCCGCCAGUGACAUGUCAUGUAUGGGCUUGACAUAAGGACUUUCAAAUAGUCUAUUAGCUGAAGUUACAAAAUGAAAUCGAGCUUCUGUAGAGCCUUUUUCAUUCUGUCCUAGUCACCGAAGCUGAUCAGCAAACCAUUCUUUUUUGCGGAGUAAAUGUNNNNNNNNNNNNNNNNNNNNNNNNNNNNNNNNNNNNNNNNNNNNNNNNNNNNNNNNNNNNNNNNNNNNNNNNNNNNNNNNNNNNNNNNNNNNNNNNNNNNUAGUCAUCUUUGAGCAACGGGGUUACUCGUAGCGAUGAAACCAGUCUCUCGUAAGCGUACGAGUAAUGUCAGUCCAAGCCGCUUCAAUCCAACAAUACCGCGGAAUCAAGAAAAGACUAAGGAGGGCAGCAAAACGCACAUCACCGCCCACAAAAACUUUCGUGUUCUACUCGAGAAGACAUCUACGCAUUAACCUAACUCAUGAUGCCACUGAGGGGGAACGUCGCAUGGGAAACAAAAAAAUUCCUACGCGCACGAAGACCUAUCAUGGUGAUGUCCAUCUACGAGAGGGGAUGAGUGAUCUACGUACCCUUGUAGACGUACAGCAGAAGCGUUAGUGAACGCGGUUGAUGUAGUGGAACGUCCUCACGUCCCUCGAUCCGCCCCGCGAACAAUCCCGCGAUCAGUCCCACGAUCUAGUACCGAACGGACGGCACCUCCGCGUUCAGCACACGUACAGCUCGACGAUUAUCUCAGCCUUCUUGAUCCAGCAAGAGAGAUGGAGAGGUAGAAGAGUUCUCCGGCAGCGUGACGGUGCUCCGGAGGUUGGUGAUGACCUUGUCUCAGCAGGGCUCCGCCCGAGCUCCGCAGAAACGCGAUCUAGAGGAAAAACCGUGGAGGUAUGUGGUCGGGCUGCCGUGGAAAAGUCGUCUCAAAUCAGCCCUAAAACCUCCGUAUAUAUAGGUGGGAGAGAGGGGACCUUGCCUUGGGGCUCAAGGAUCCCCAAGGGGGUCGGCCGAGCCAAGGGGGGAAGGUCUCCCCCCCCAAACCGAGUUGGACUUGGUUUGGUGGGUGGGAGUCCUUCCUUCCCUUCCCACCUCCUCCUUUUUUUUCUUUGAUUUUUCUUCCAAUGCGCAUAGGGCCCUUUUGGGCUGUACCACCAUCCCACUAAGGGCUGGUGCACCACCCUCUAGGCCUAUGGGCUUCCCCGAGGUGGGUUGCCCCCCCGGUGAACUCCCGGAACCCAUUCGUCAUUUCCGGUACAUUCCCGGUAACUCCGAAAACCUUCCGGUAAUCAAAUGAGGNNNNNNNNNNUCUUUCUCUUUGAUUUUUCUUCCAAUGCGCAUAGGGCCCUUUUGGGCUGUCCCACCAGCCCACUAAGGGCUGGUGCACCACCCUCAAGGCCUAUGGGCUUCCCCGGGGUGGGUUGCCCCCCCCCGGUGAACUCCCGGAACCCAUUCAUCAUUUUCGGUACAUUCCCGGUAACUCCGAAAACCUUCCGGUAAUCAAAUGAGGUNNNNNNNNNNNNNNNNNNNNNNNNNNNNNNNNNNNNNNNNNNNNNNNNNNNNNNNNNNNNNNNNNNNNNNNNNNNNNNNNNNNNNNNNNNNNNNNNNNNNCAUUUCAUCUUGGUCUAGAUGUAGGCAUGGACAUAGGGGGAGUGUUGUUCUCUCAAUGAACUCUCCCUCCCCCCAUUAUGCGUAAAUCAAUCUAGUCUUUCACUUUAGCCAUUGACAAAUGGCACUUGUGCUUCAAAGACGAGCAUUGGUCAUGAACCCAAGGAUAAUUCUUCGCGGUGUCAUACCAUUGUCUCAAACAUAGGUGGCCUCGGCCACCGCCCCUCCAUCCUCUCUUGCGUAUAAAGGAGAGGAUAUACAAUGACAAGUCAGUACAUUUUCUUGGAUGUGAUUCCUUUUUACUCACUUGUCAUGUGCCCAAGUUUCCCUUUUUCCUUAGCCGUGUUGAAACAUGUACAGCGGUACUACCGCCACGGUAGCGGUACUACCGCCAGGACCCCAGCGGUACUACCGCCAGGGGUAGCGGUACUACCGCCAGGACCCCAGCGGUACUACCGCCAGGUAUGGCAGUACUACCGCCAGGAUUCAAAAUCUAACACGACCGGCUAGAAAAUUUCUAGGGUUUCAAGGGGGAGCGGUACUACCGCCUGGGGGAGCGGUACCACCGCCAGGACCCCAGCGGUACUACCGCUGCAUCUGGCGGUACUACCGCCAGGACCCCAGCGGUACUACCGCCAGGACCCCAGCGGUACUACCGCUGGCCCGUACCCCUUGGGCUAUAUAAAGGGAGGGGGAGCCCGAUUUUUGCAUCUGUUUCUUCUUCCUCGCGGCUCCUCCCUCCCCUAGCCCGAAACCCCCCUGUUUGGAUCUCACUUCGUGGAGCUCCUUCUCCGCGUUGGUGUAGAAGGGUUGCUUCAUCUCUUCUUCCUACUCCAAGAGCCAUGAAUCCCGGUAAAGCUCCUCCCUUCUUCUAUUUGGUUGUUCUUCGUGUUCUAGGGUUAGGAGCAUUGGGGAUUGGAUUCAUCCUGUUGAUCCUAUGGCUAGUUAUUGGAUGGCAUGUAGGAAAUAUUUGAGGGGGGUAUAGGUCCGAUGGUUUGUUGUUGUGAUUGCUGCCAUGCUCUAGGAUUUCAUCGUCUUAGAUCGAAUACUUGAACUCUUGGAUUAGAUCUAAAACGUGCUCUCUCUUGCCUAGGCAUUUUUGUACCUCUUGUUACUAUGUGUUCCUCAUGACAGGAGGGCUGGGGUGUACGUCUUAGUGUUCAUGUUCAGUCCUUGCCCUCGANNNNNNNNNNNNNNNNNNNNNNNNNNNNNNNNNNNNNNNNNNNNNNNNNNNNNNNNNNNNNNNNNNNNNNNNNNNNNNNNNNNNNNNNNNNNNNNNNNNNAGUUGGGAGCAAGUUUUUGUGUUUGUGCAGGAUCUUGAGAUACUCCUCCACUGGAUUGAUACCUUGGUUCUCAAAUUGAGGGAAAUACUUACCACCGCUACGCUACAUCACCCUUUCUGCUUCGAGGGAACACCAAUGCAAGGCUCUAAGGCCACGGGGGGAAAUCCUUUGCAUACUUGCCUAGGAAGUCCCUUAAGGCGUAGCCGCAGCAAAAAGAUCAAGCCAAGUAUUCUCCCGUCGACGUGCCUAUUUUUGGCACCAUUGGAAGGUCUUUUGUUGCAGUAGCAGAAGUAUUUCUGGCGCCAUUGCUGGGGAGGAGAUAUCAAGAUCUAUCCAAGUAGGUCUCACAAACUCUUCUCUUGCAUUUACUUUUGUUGCCAGUUGCCUCUCUUUUUCCUCUCCCCCACUUCACAUUUGCCGUUUUCAUUCGCCUUUCGCCUUCGCCGUUUUCUUUUGCCUUUGCCGUUCCCUUUCGCUCGUCCGCUCUUAGGUUUGUUCGUGAGAGACCUUUCCUCAUGGCCAAACCAAACUAUUUCAAAAAAUUGGAAGAGAUUGAAACUAAUGNNNNNNNNNNGAAGUAUUCUCCCGUCGACGUGCCUAUUUCUGGCACCGUUGGAAGGUCUUUUGUUGCAGUAGCAGAAGUAUUUCUGGCGCCGUUGCCGGGGAGGAGAUAUCAAGAUCUAUCCAAGUAGGUCUCACAAACUCUUCUCUUGCAUUUACUUUUGUUGCCAGUUGCCUCUCGUUUUCCUCUCCCCCACUUCACAUUUUCCGUUUUCAUUCGACUUUCGCCUUCGUCGUUUUCUUUUGCCUUUGCCGUUCCCUUUCGCUCAUCCGCUCUUAGGUUUGUUCGUGAGAGACCUUUCCUCGUGGCCAAACCAAACUAUUUCAAAAAAUUGGAAGAGAUUGAAACUAAUGCCAAAAGUUUCAUGUCUUCGUAGUUUGACCAAAAUAGUUACUUCCGUAGGGAAUUAAAAGAGCAAAAUUCCUUUUUGGUUUGUUUGAAUAAAGAGGUUGAUGAUAUGGCCAAUGAUUUCCUUGCACUUAGUUCUCAGUUUGCUCACCUUGAAAAAUUGGUGGGCCAAAUUUCUGACAAGCAGGCUACCUUAGUCAAUAAGAUGGCAGCUAAACCUGAAAUUUGUGAUGCAAAUCACGAAGAUCUUAAAGUUCUUGGUGUGUCUCCUCUUGAAUCUUUGUUUUCGCGUGUCAAACCUACUUAUGGAGGGGCUGGAUAUGAAUCCACUUUUGUUGAAAAACGACCCAAUGAUUUGGAGUCCACCUAUCUUGAUGAUAAAGGUGUGGAGAGUGGAGUAGAAGAAGUCAAAAUUUUGGGUAGUAAUAAAACUCCCACUUUGGAUUUCAAGGAAUUCAAUUAUGAUAAUUGCUCCUUGCUUGAAUGCAUUUCUUUUAUGCAAUCCAUUGCAAACUCUCCACAUGCUUAUAGCAAAAGCAAAGCCUUUACCGCGCAUAUCGUAGAUGCCAUGAUGAAAUCUCUUGAAGAGAAGCUCGAACUAGAAGUCUCUAUACCUAGAAAACUUCAUGAUGAAUGGGAACCUACUAUCAAAAUCAAGAUAAAAAACUAUGAGUGCAAUGCUUUGUGUGAUUUGGGUGCUAGUGUUUCCGCGAUUCCAAAGUCUUUAUGUGAUAUUCUUGGUUUUCAUGAGAUUGAAGAGUGUUCUCUUAAUUUGCAUCUUGCGGGUUAUACUAUCAAGAAACCCAUGGGGAGGAUUGAUGAUGUUCUUAUUGUUGCAAAUAAGAACUAUGUACCCGUGGAUUUCAUUGUACUUGACAUAGAUUGCAAUCCUUCAUGUCCCAUUAUUCUUGGUAGACCUUUCCUAAGGACUAUUGGUGCUAUCAUCGAUAUGAAGGAAGGGAAUAUUAGAUUUCAAUUUCCUUUAAAGAAGGGCAUGGAGGACUUUACUAGAAAGAAAAUAAGAUUGCCUUAUGAAUCUAUGAUGAGGGCUACCUAUGGUUUGAGCACCAAAGAUGACUAUACGUGAUUCCAUCACUUUCGCCUAGCAAAGGGCGUUAAACAAAAGCGCUUGUUGGGAGGCAACCCAAUGAAUCUAUCCUUUUUCUUUCUCUUUUGUGUUUUUCACACUUUCAUAAUUCUGUUAUGAUUGUGUUUUUUGUGUUUCUUUUUUGCGUUUGUGCCAAGCAAAACCGUUAUGAUUAGUCUUGGGGAUGAUCGUUUGGUCAUGCUGGAAAAGACAGAAACUUUCAGCUCACGAAAAGAAUUUUCUUGUUUUUUCUGUAAGAUCUUUUGAGUUGAUUCUUUUUGCUUCUGAUUGCUACGCAAAUUAUUCAGACUAUCAUAAUUUUUAAGAAUUUGUGAAGUACCAUAGGUAUACGAAAUAUACAGAUUGCUACAGACUGGUCUGCUGUUAACAGAUUCUGUUUUUGUUGUGUUGGUUGCUUAUCUUGAUGAAACUAUGGAUAGUAUCGGGGGGUAUUAGCCAUGGAAGAUUGAAAGUACAGUAACCCNNNNNNNNNNGUUUUUUCUGCUGAUUGCUACGCAAAUUCUUCAGACUGUCGUAAUUUUUCAGAAUUUUGGAAGUACCAUAGGUAUACGAAAUAUACAGAUUGCUACAGACUGGUCUGCUAUUAACAUAUUCUGUUUUUGUUGUGUUGGUUGCUUAUUUUGAUGAAACUAUGAAUAGUAUCGGGGGGUAUUAGCCAUGGAAGAUUGAAAGUACAGUAACCCAACAUCAGCACAAGUAGAAUUUAAGUUUGCUACACUACCUAAGGAAGUGGUGGUUUGCUUUCUUGUACUAAUGUUAUCACAAGUUUCUGUUUAAGUUUCGUGUUGUGAAGUUUUCAAGUUUUGGGUGAAGUUCUUAUGGACAAAGAGAUAAAGAGUGGCAAGAUCUCAAGCUUGGGUAUGCCCAAGGCACCCCAAGAUAUUCAAGGAUGCCGUAAAUGCCUAAGCUUGGGGAUGCCCCGGGAAGGCAUCCCCUCUCUCGUCUUCAAUCUAUCGGUAACGUUACUUGGGGCUAUAUUUUUAUUCACCACAUGUUAUGUGUUUNNNNNNNNNNUGCAAGAGCUCAAGCUUGGGGAUGCCCAAGGCACCCCAAGAUAUUCAAGGAUGCCGUAAAAUCCUAAGCUUGGGGAUGCCCCGAGAAGGCAUCCCCUCUCUCGUCUUCAAUCCAUCANNNNNNNNNNNNNNNNNNNNNNNNNNNNNNNNNNNNNNNNNNNNNNNNNNNNNNNNNNNNNNNNNNNNNNNNNNNNNNNNNNNNNNNNNNNNNNNNNNNNAAGUGCUAGUUCCUGUUUUUUCCGUGUUUUUGACUCUUUUUAGAUCUGAUUUUGGUACGGAGUCCAAACGGAAGAAAAACCCCGAAAUGAUUUUUCCCGAACGGAAGAAGAUCAGGGGGCCUUUGGGCCAAGCCAGGUGGGCUCCAGGGAGCCCACAAGCCCCCACUCCGCCACCAGGGGGAGGCGGCGGUGGGCAGGCUUGUGGCCUCCCGGGCCGCCCCCUGACCUAGAUCUUUGUCCUAUAAAUUCCCAAAUAUUCCGCAAAAAAUCAGGGGAGCCUCGAAAAUACUUUUCCACCGCCGCAAACUUCCGUUUCCGCGAGAUCUCAUCUGGAGACCCUUCCUGGCACCCUGCCGGAGGGGACUUUGGAGUUGGAGGGCUUCAUCAUCAUCAUCAUCGCCCCUCCAAUGACUCGUGAGUAGUUCACUUCAGACCUACGGGUCCGUAGUUAGUAGCUAGAUGGCUUCUUCUCUCUCUUGGAUCUUCAAUACAAAGUUCUCCAUGAUCUUCAUGGAGAUCUAUCCGAUGUAAUCUUCUUUGGCGGUGUGUUUGUCGAGAUCCAUGAAUUGUGGAUUGGUGAUCAGAUUAUCUCUGAUAUAUAUUUGAGUCUUUGCUGAUUUCUUAUAUGCAUGAUUUGAUANNNNNNNNNNUUCUUUGCUGAUUUAUUAUAUGCAUGAUUUGAUAUCCUUGUAAGUCUCUCCGAGUCUUGGGUUNNNNNNNNNNAUCCGAUAAAUUGUGGAUUUGUGAUCAGAUUAUCUAUGAUAUAUAUUUGAGUCUUUGCUGAUUUCUUAUAUGCAUGAUUUGAUANNNNNNNNNNGGUUUUGCUGAUUUCUUAUAUGCAUGAUUUGAUAUCCUUGUAAGUCUAUCCGAGUCUUGGGUUUUGUUUGGCCAACUAGAUCUAUGAUUCUUGCAAUGGGAGAAGUGCUUGGUUUUGGGUUCUGCCAUGUGGUGACCUUUCCCAGUGACAGUAGGGGCAGCAAGGCACACAUCAAGUAGUUGCCAUCAAGGGUAAAAAGAUGGGGUUUUUNNNNNNNNNNNNNNNNNNNNNNNNNNNNNNNNNNNNNNNNNNUAAGGCGUUACUCUAUUAUUAUGGACUUAAUACACUAGAUGCAUGCUGGAUAGCGGUCGACGUGUGGAGUAAUAGUAGUAGAUGCAGACAGUAUCGUUCUACUUGUUUUGGACGUGAUGCCUAUAGAAAUAAUCAUUGCAUAGAUAUCAUCACGACUUUUUGCGGUUCUAUCAAUGCUACAUCACCCUUUCUGCUUCGAGGGAACACCAAUGCAAGGCUCCAAGGCCAUGGGGGAAAUCCUUUGCAUACUUGCCUAGGAAGUCCCUUAAGGCGUAGCNNNNNNNNNNCGGACGUGAUGCCUAUAGAAAUAAUCAUUGCAUAGAUAUCGUCGUGACUUUGCGCGGUUCUAUCAAUUGCUCGACAGUAAUUUGUUCAUCCACCGUCUACUUGCUUUCAUGAGAGAAGCCACUAGUAAACACAACGGCCCCCGGGUCUAUUCACAUCCAUCGUUUACAUCUCCGCUUUUACUUUGCUUUGUUACUUUGUUGCUUUCAGUUNNNNNNNNNNNNNNNNNNNNNNNNNNNNNNNNNNNNNNNNNNNNNNNNNNNNNNNNNNNNNNNNNNNNNNNNNNNNNNNNNNNNNNNNNNNNNNNNNNNNCCUAGGUCCUUCAUAGAGAAACUUUUAUUCAAGUAACCUUUUAUGCUCUCCAAAAGCUCUACGUUGUUUCCAAUCAGCAAUAUGUCAUCCACAUAUAAUAUUAGAAACGCCAUAGAGCUCCCACUCACUUUCUUGUAAAUACAAGAUUCUCCAACCACUUGUAUAAACCCAAAUGCUUUAAUCACCUCAUCAAAGCGCUUGUUCCAACUCCGAGAUGCUUGCGCCAGUCCAUAAAUGGAUCGCUGGAGCUUGCACACCUUGUCAGCAUUUUUAGGAUCGACAAAACCUUCGGUUGCAUCAUAUACAACUCUUCCUUAAGGAAACCAUUAAGGAAUGCCGUUUUGACAUCCAUCUGCCAGAUUUCAUAAUCGAAAAAUGCAGCUAUUGCUAACAUGAUUCUGACGGACUUAAGCAUCGCUACGGGUGAGAAGGUCUCAUCGUAGUCAACUCCUGGAACUUGUGAAAAACCCCUUGCCACAAGUCGAGCUUUAUAAACGGUCACAUUACCGUCAGCGUCCGNNNNNNNNNNAAUCGAAAAAACCUUCGGGUUGCAUCAUAUACAACUCUUCCUUAAGGAAACCGUUAAGGAACGCCGUUUUGACAUCCAUCUGCCAGAUUUCAUAAUCGAAAAAUGCAGCUAUUGCUAACAUGAUUCUUACGGACUUAAGCAUCGCUACGGGAGAGAAAGUCUCAUCGUAGUCAAUUCCUGGAACUUGUGAAAAACCCUUUGCCACAAGUCGAGCUUUAUAAACGGUCACAUUACCGUCAGCGUCCGNNNNNNNNNNNNNNNNNNNNNNNNNNNNNNNNNNNNNNNNNNNNNNNNNNNNNNNNNNNNNNNNNNNNNNNNNNNNNNNNNNNNNNNNNNNNNNNNNNNNGCAAUAAACAAGAUCCAGAUAUAAUGUUCAUGCUCAACGCACGCACUAAAUAACAAUGAUUUAAGUUCAUCACUAAUCCCGAUGGUAGUUGAAGUGACACUGCACCGACGGCGAUUGCAUCAACCUUGGAACCGUUUCCUACGCGCAUCGUCACUUCGUCUUUCGUCAGCCUUCGUCUAUUCCGCAGUUCCUGCUUCGAGUUGCAAAUGUGAGCAACAGAACCGGUAUCGAAUACCCAGGCACUACUACGAGAGCCGGUUAAGUACACAUCAAUAACAUGUAUAUCAAAUAUACCUGAUUUUUCUUUGCCCGCCUUCUUAUCUGCCAGAUACUUGGGGCAAUUGCGCUUCCAGUGACCCAUACCCUUGCAAUAGAAGCACUCUGUUUCAGGCUUAGGUCCAGCCAUGGGUUUCUUCGGCGGAUUGGCAACAGGCUUGCCGCUCUUCUUCGAAUUGCCCUUCUUGCCUUUGCUGUUUCUCUUGAAACUAGUGGUCUUGCUCACCAUCAACACUUGAUGCUCUUUUCGGAGUUCUGACUCUCCGACUUUCAGCAUCGCAAACAACUCGCCGGGAGACUUGUUCAUCCCUUGCAUGUUGUAGUUCAACACAAAGCCUUUAAAGCUUGGCGGCAGUGAUUGGAGGAUUCUGUUAGUGAUAGCUUCUUGCGGGAGUUCAAUCCCCAGUUCAGCUAGACGGUUUGAGUACCCAGACAUUUUGAGCACAUGUUCACUGACAGACGAGUUUUCCUCCAUCUUGCAAGCAUAGAAUUUAUCGGAGGUCUCAUACCUCUCGAUCCGGGCGUUCUUCUGAAAGAUAAACUUCAACUCCUGGAACAUCUCAAAUGCUCCAUGACGCUCAAAGCGACGUUGAAGUCCCGGCUCUAAGCCAUACAAGACUGCACAUUGAACUAUUGAGUAGUCCUCCUUACGUGCUAACCAAGCGUUCUUAACAUCCUGAUCAGCCGUAGCGGGUGGUUCAUCUCCUAGCGCAGCAUUAUGGACAUAAUCCUUCUUUCCAGCUUGUAAGAUUAGCUUAAGAUUACGAGCCCAGUCUACAAAGUUGCUUCCAUCAUCUUUCAACUUAGCUUUCUCUAGGAACGUAUUAAAAUUCAGGAUGACACUUGCGUGAGCCAUGAUCUACAACACAAAUAUAUUCAAAAUGGACUUAGACUAUGUUCAAGAUAAUUAGAGUUCAACUUAAUCAAAUUAUAUGCUAAACUCCCACUCAAAAAGUACAUCUCUCUAGUCAUUUGAGUGGUUCAUGAUCCACUUACACUAUCCCAAGUCCGAUCAUCANNNNNNNNNNNNNNNNNNNNNNNNNNNNNNNNNNNNNNNNNNNNNNNNNNNNNNNNNNNNNNNNNNNNNNNNNNNNNNNNNNNNNNNNNNNNNNNNNNNNCAUUGGUUUGAGUUUAUCCCUCUACAUCAUGUCAUCUUGCUUAAGGCGUUACUCUGUUCGUCAUGAACUCAAUACACUAGAUGCAUGCUGGAUAGAGGUCGAUGUGUGGAGUAAUAGUAGUAGAUGCAGAAAGUAUCGAUCUACUUGUCUCGGACGUGAUGCCUAUAUGUAUGAUCAUUGCCUUAGAUAUCGUCAUGACUUUGCGCGGUUAUAUCAAUUGCUCGACAGUAAUUUGUUCAUCCAUUGUAUUAUUUGCUAUUUUGAGAGAAGCCUCUAGUGAACACUAUGGCCCCCGGGUCUACUUCACACCAUAUUUUCAGCCUUACACUUUUACUUCGUUGCACUUUCCUCCUUCAGAUCUCACUUUGCAAUCAAUCUUGAAGGGAUUGACAACCCCUUUAUAGCAUUGGGUGCAAGCUCUUUUGUGUUUGCGCAGGUAAUCUGGACUUGACGCGAUUCUCCUACUGGAUUGAUACCUUGGUUCUCAAACUGAGGGAAAUACUUACUGCUCAUGUGCUGCAUCACCCUUUCCUCUUCAAGGGAAAAACCAACGCAAGCCCAGUCUCCGUCAACGUGCCAAUCUCUGGCGCUGUUGUCUGUUGCCGUAGCACCCCCUCCAGGGGGACUGGGCGAGCUGUUCAGUUUCGGGUCUACUGAGCGGCCUCGAAGUGCAAGGAUACCUUCCUGCUUCAGAUCUAACAUCCACCUGCCCCGGAUUAACUUCCACGAACGGUGAGGCCCUUGCAGAGAACUUCCCAACUCCUUGCAAGGAAGAGAGGGUAUGCUUCGUUCCCAUCCUCUUAUGAGGUUUAGGCUUCCCAUUCACCCCUUCUUAAUGGGCCUGCUAGAGUUUUACGGGAUCUAGCUUCAUCAUCUUACUCCUGGAUCCAUUCUUCAUAUUUAUGGCUAUGUUGCCCUUUGCGAGAUGUUCUUAGGAUGCGGGACCCAUUUUGAACCGGGGAGGAAAAAUUUCUGCCUUGUCCCUCGCACACGAGGAGGGAAUGUUUUUUAGGUAGGCGGAGCCGAAGUGUGGCGCAUAGGUGGGACGGGGUAUCCUAUUGGGACUCCAAAGAAGGAUUCCGAAGAAUGGACCUUAGAGUGGUUUUAUAUCAAGGAUGUCCCCCUAUUUGAUCCAUCUUGGAGGGGUCUACCCGAAUAUUCAAAUGUUCCUUGAUGUCUACUACACAACUUUAUUAUUGUAGACUACGUUGGGCCUCCAAGUGUAGAGUUUUGUAGGACAGUAGCAAUUUCCCCUCAAGUGGAUGACCUAAGGUUUAUCAAUCCAUGGAAGGUGUAGGAUGAAGAUGGUCUCUCUCAAACAACCGUGCAAUCAAAUACAAAAAAUAUCUAGUGUCCCCAACACACCCAAUACAAUGGAAAAUUGUAUAGGUGCACUAGUUCGGUGAAGAGAUGGUGAUACAAGUGUAAUAUGGAUAGUAGAUAUAGGUUUUUGUAAUCUUAAAAUAUAAGAACAACGAGGUAGCAUGUUUAAAACAAUGAGAAAAACAUUGUAUAAAUGCUUGGUAAUAGGGCCUAGGGUUCGUACUUUCACUAGUGCAAUCUCUCAACAAUGUUAACAUAGUAGAAUCAUAUGAUCAUCCCUCAACGUGCAACAAAGAGUCACUCCAAAGUUCCUAUAUAAUGGAGAACAAUAAGAUGAAAUUGAUGUAGGUAAUAGAACCAUCUCAUAGUAUUCAUGCCAUGUUUACAAUAGUUAUAUAUGAUUUUAGUACGACUUUUUUAGAACUAACUCGGACUGACGUUGUUUUCAGCAAAACUACCAUGGUGUCAUUUUUUGUGCAAAAAUAAAGUUCUCGGAAUGGGCUGAAAAUUUACGGUGAUUUUUAUGGACCAAAAGAGACCCCCGAAGCACCAGAGCUGGGCCAGGAAGUGGAUGAGGAAGCCACAAGCCUACUGGACGCGGCCACCCCCUAGGUCGCGCCCCCUGGCUUGUGACUUCCUCGGGGAACCUUCCGAAUGUGAGACCGACGCCAAAAGUUCCUAUAAAUACCAAAAACCCAAGAAAGAAACCUAGAUCGGGAGUUUCGCCGCCGCAAGCCUCCAGAGCCAUGAAAAAACAAUCUUGGCCCUCUCCGACACCCUGCUGGAGGGGGUCAUCUUCAUCGGAGGCCAUCUUCAUCAUCCCGACGAUCUCCAUAAUUGCCAUGGAGGCCACUCAAGGGGGAGACCAUGGAGGAGGAAGCACAAGGGGGAAAACCUUUCUCUCUCUCUCUUGGUGGCGCCGGAGUGGCAUCGGGGGAACCAUCGCCGUGAUGAUCGUCUUCACCAACAUCACCUUUUUCAUCACCAUCAUCAUCUCCUUUCAGCGGUCCACUCUCACGCACCUCACUGUAAUCCCCUACUCGAACAUGGUGCUUUAUGCCGCAUAUUAUGAUUUAGUGAUGUGUUGCCAUCCUAUGAUGUUUGAGUAGAUUUAUUUUGUCCUUUGGGUUGAUUGAUGAUCUAGAUUGGUGUGAGUUCUAUAUUUAUUUUGGUGUUGUCGUAUGGUGCCUUCCAUGAUGCGCACACGUGAAAGAUUCCUGUUGUAGGGUGUUGCAAUGCGUUCAUGAUUCGCUUAUAGUGGGUUGCUUGAGUGACAGAAGCACAAACCCGAGUAAGGGGGUUGUUGCAUAUGGGAUAAAGGGGACUUGAUACUUUAAUGGUAUGGUUGGGUUUUACCUUAAUGAUCUUUAGUAGUUGCGGAUGCUUGCUAGAGUUCCAAUCAUAAGUGCAUAUGAUCCAAGUAGAUAAAAUAUGUUAGCUUAUGCCUCUCCCUCAUAUAAAAUUGCAAUAAUGAUUACCGAUCUUGUUAACAAUUGCCUAGGACAAUUCCGCACANNNNNNNNNNNNNNNNNNNNNNNNNNNNNNNNNNNNNNNNNNNNNNNNNNNNNNNNNNNNNNNNNNNNNNNNNNNNNNNNNNNNNNNNNNNNNNNNNNNNNNNNNNNNNNNNNNNNNNNNNNNNNNNNNNNNNNNNNNNNNNNNNNNNNNNNNNNNNNNNNNNNNNNNNNNNNNNNNNNNNNNNNNNNNNUUAUUCUAGUUCUCCAUUAUCAUGCAAAGCUAUUCUCUUCAUACCCACAACAUAGUUUUAUUUCUCGUUUUUAGUUGGAAGCAAACGUUCGGCGUACGUAGAGUCGUAUCAUUGGCAAAUAGGACAUGAGAUAAUAUUGAUCUUACCUUUAGCUCCUUGUGGGUUCGACACUCCAUACUUAUCACUUCCACCUUUGGAAAUUGCUACUAUGAUUCCUUGCACUGGGGGAUUAUCAAGCUCUUUUCUGGCGCCGUUGUGGGAAGCAAUAGCAUGGGGUUGGUAUUCUUGUGUGUGUUUAUUUGCUUUCUUCACUAAGUAGAUUUUGUUUCCCCUUUUUGGUUUAUUUAGUUGUGGGUGAAACAAAAAAAAUGAAAAAUAUAAAAAGAAUUACUUGCCCCUUAUGCCUAAGAAGUUUUUCAAAAAGAGAAGUGAUUAGAAAGUUGUGCAUUGGAGAAGUGAUGAUCGACCUUGAACACUUGUGUUCAUGCUGAUGAAAAAAAUGUAGAAUUUUUCAUGGAAGUUUCUCAAAAAUAAUUAUCCCCAUGUAUAUAUCCUUUGUAUUAUAAAAAUAAUGUGUCAAGAUUUGGUUUUAGGAUGAUUAGAUAGCUUGUUUUCUUUGCGCGGUGCAAAAACAGAAACUUUGACUGUAGUGCAUGAAUUUUAUUUUUUUACUGGAUCGUCAAAAGUUUCCGAAAAUUUUAAAAAGUACUACUAUAAUUUUUUUUUAAUUUUUUCCUAAAUUUUCAGAAUUUUUUGAGUUACAUAAGUAUGUGAAGUUUCCAAAAUGCUAUAGACUGUUGUGUUGUUGACAGAUUAUGUUUCCUAUGCAUUGUUCUCUUAUUUUGAUGAAUCUAUGGAUAAUACCGGGGGGUAUGAACCAUGGUAAAGUUGGACUACAAUAUAUAUAAUGCUAAUAUGAAUUUGGAAUGAGUUCACAACAGUACUUAAAGUAGUAUUUUUCUUUAUUAUACUAACGGAUCUCACGAGGGUUUUGUUAAUUUUUGUAUGAAUAAAGUGUUCGAAGAUCGACGGUAUCGAUAAAAGAAGAAUACGGAGAUACAAGAGUUCAAACUUGGGGAUUUCCAAGGCACCCCAAGUAAAUAUUUCAAGUAGGCUCAAGCAUCUAAGCUUGGGGAUGCCCCGGAAGGUAUCCCAUCUUUAUUCUUCGAUAAUUAUCGGUAUACCUCGGUUUUUGUUUUGUUCACAUGAUAUGCGUAUUUAGUGUUUUUCUUCUCCUUUUAUGCACCCUUAUAGUAUGAGGUAGUCCUUCAUUGAUUUAUAAAAUACUUCAUGAUCUUCACUUAAAUCUUUUGAGUAUAGCUUUGUAGAAUACUCUUUGUGCUUCACUUAAAUCUUUUGAGUAUGGCUUUGUAGAAUGCUCUUUGUGCUUCACUUAAAUCUUUUGAGUAUGGCCUUAUAGAAUGUUUCGUGUGCUUCACUUAUAUAUUUUAAGCUUGGAUAUUGGUUGAUCUAUAUUAAUUGUAGAAUGCUCUAUGAACUUCACUUAUAUCUUUUAGAGUAUGAAUAAAAUUUCCGUCGGAAUUGGGCUUGGAAGUGUAUCAAUGUCAUGCCUAGCUAGAAAGGCUUUAAAGAAAAGCUUGUUGGGAGAUGAUACGUCCAUUUUGCAUCAUGUUUUCAUGUCGAUAUUUAUAGCUUCUUUGGCUGUUAUUUCACUUCAUGGUACUAUCCUUAUGCCUUUUCUCUCUUAUUUUGCAAGGUUUACAUGAAGAGGGAGAAUACCGACAACUUGAAUUCUGGCCUGAAAGUGGAGCGAAGUUGAGAUACCUAUUCUGCGCAACUCCAAACGCCGUGAAAAUCAACGGGGAUUUUUUUCCCAAUAUAUAAAAAAUACUGGGCCGAAGAAGUACCGGAGGGNNNNNNNNNNUACCUUCGGAGAUACCUGUAGAGCAUCUUUAUAGUCAUCCAUUUACGUUGCGACGUUUGAUACACACAAAGCAUUCCUCCGGUGUCAGUGAGUUAUAUGAUCUCAUGGUCAUAGGAAUAAAUACUUGACACGCAGAAAACAGUAGCAACAAAAUGACACGAUCAACAUGCUACGUCUAUUAGUUUGGGUCUAGUCCAUCACGUGAUUCUCCCAAUGACAUGAUCCAGUUAUCAAGCAACAACACCUUGUUCAUAAUCAGAAGACACUGACUAUCAUCGAUCAACUGGCUAGCCAACUAGAGGCAUGCUAGGGACGGUGUUUUGUCUAUGUAUCCACACAUGUAAAUGAGUCUUCAUUCAAUACAAUUAUAGCAUGGAUAAUAAACUAUUAUCUUGAUACAGGAAUUAUAAUAAUAACUAUACAUUUAUUAUUGCCUCUAGGGCAUAAUUCCAACAGUCUCCCACUUGCACUAGAGUCAAUAAUCUAGCCCUCACAUCACCAUGUGAAUUACAUUGUAAUAAAUCUAACACCCAUACAGUUUGGUGUCGAUCAUGUUUUGGCCAUGGAAGAGGUUUAGUCAGCGGGUCUGCUACAUUCAGAUCCGUGUGCACUUUGCAUAUAUUUACGUCCUCCUCCUCGACGUAGUCGCGGAUGAGGUUGAAGCGUCGUUUGAUGUGUCUGGUCUUCUUGUGAAACCUUGGUUCCUUUGCUAAGGCAAUGGCACCAGUAUUGUCACAGAACAAGGUUAUUGGAUCCAGUGCACUUGGCACCACUCCAAGAUCCGUCAUGAANNNNNNNNNNUAGAGAUCCCUUAGCAUGUGACGAUUGCUUCCACCUCAUACUAGCCAAAACUCCCGCACUAAGUAGAGAUACUACUUGUGCAUCCAUAAUCCUUCAAACCAGUUUUGCCAUGAGUGUCCACCAUACCUACCUAUGGAUUGAAUAAGAUCCCUCAAGUAAGUUGUCAUCGGUGCAAGCAAUAAAAAUUGUUCUCUAAUAUGUAUGAUCUAUUAGUGUGUGGAAAAUAAGCUUCGUACAAACGUGUGAUGAGGAAGACAUAAAAGUGACACACUGCAUAAUAAAGUUCUUUAUCAUAGGGGGCAAUACAAAGUGACAUUCCUCCGCACUAAGAGGACACGCAUCCAAACCUCAAAAGCGCAUGACAACCUCUGCUUCCCUCUGCGAAGGGCCUAUCUUGUACCUUUACUUUUUGCCCUUGAAAGAGUCAUGGUGAUCUUCACCAAUUCCUUAUUUUUCCUUUGUCUUGGCUACCGUCAUAUGCUUGGGAAAGAUCUAUAUUCAUAUGUCAACUUGGAGGUAAGUAUUCAUGAAUUAUUAUUGUUGACAUUACCCUUGAGGUAAGCAGUUGGGAGGCAAAACUACAAGCCCCUAUCUUUCUCUGUGUCCAGCUGAAACUUUGAUCUCAUGAGUACCCCGUGAGUUGUAGCAAUUGUAGAGAAUGAAAGAAUGAUUGAGUAUGUGGAUUUUAUUUACAAGCUCUUAUUUGACUCUUUCUGAUGUUGUGAUAAAUUACAAUUGCUUCAAUGACUAAAGGCUAUCGGUUGUUACUUCUCGGUAAGGUUCUUGAUCCAUGCUUUACAUUGUGAAGGAAUUAUCACUUUAGCAUGAGAGAUUAUAUGUUGGUAUUGAUGUUCUCAUAAUGAUCUUGAUGCUUGCAUGUUCGUAUCUUGUUUUGUCGACACCUCUCUCCCUAAACAUGUGGACAUAUUUAUUGAGCUCAGCUUUCGCUUGAGGACAAGCGAGGUCUAAGCUUGGGGGAGUUGAUACGUCCAUUUUGCAUCAUGUUUUCAUGUUGAUAUUUAUCGCUUCUUUGGUUGUUAUUUAACUUCAUGGUACUAUUCUUAUUCCUUUUCUCUCUUAUUUUGCAAGGUUUACAUGAAGAGGGAGAAUACCGGCAACUUGAAUUCUGGCCUGAAAGUGGAGCGAAGUUGAGAUACCUAUUAUGCGCAACUCCAAACGCCGUGAAAAUCAAUGGGGAUUUUUUCCCAAUAUAUAAAAAAUACUGGGCCGAAGAAGUACCGGAGGGNNNNNNNNNNUGCCAUGGGGGCUUGUGGGCAGCCCACUGGCCCACUGGCCCCCCUCAUUUGCUAUAUGGAGGGUUUCGUCCAGAAAAAAAUCACGGGGGAGCUUUUUCAUGGUUUCGCCGCCGCCACGAGGCGGAACUUGAGCAGAACCAAUCUAGANNNNNNNNNNGCACCAGGGGGUGCCCACAAGCCUGCACGGCGCGGCCACCCCCCCAGGCCGCGCCAUGGGGGCUUGUGGGCGGCCCACUGGCCCACUGGCCCCCCUCUUUUGCUAUAUGGAGGGUUUCGUCCAGAAAAAAAAUCACAGGGGAGCUUUUUCGUGGUUUCGCCGCCGCCACGAGGCGGAACUUGAGCAGAACCAAUCUAGAGCUCCGCUAGGACGAUCCUGUCGGGGAAACUUCCCUCCCGGAGGGGGAAAUCGUCGCCAUCAUCAUCACCAACACUCCUCUCAUCGGAGGGGACUCGUCACCAUCAACAUCUUCAUCAGCACCAUCUCAUCUCCAAACCCUAGUUCAUCUCUUGUAACCAAUCUCCGUCUCGCGACUCCGAUUGGUACUUGUAAGGUUGCUAGUAGUGUUGAUUACUCUUUGUAGUUGAUGCUAGUUGGAUUACUUGGUGGAAGAGUUUAUGGUCAGAUCCUUGAUGCUACUCAUUACACCUCUGAUCAUCAUAAUGAUUAUGCUUUGUGAGUAGUUACUUUUGUUCCUGAGGACAUGGGAUAAGUAAUGCUAAUAAUAGUCAUAUGAAUUUGGCAUUCGUUCGGUAUUUUGAUAUGUUGUAUGUUGUUUUUCCUCUAGUGGUGUUAUGUGAACGUCGACUACAUAACACUUCACCAUUAUUUGGGCCUAGAGGAAGGCAUUGAGAAGUAGUAAGUACAUGAUGGGUUGCUAGAGUGACAGAAGCUUAAACCCUAGUUUAUGCGUUNNNNNNNNNNCUUAUGUGAACGUCGACUACAUAACACUUCACCAUUAUUUGUGCCUAGAGGAAGGCAUUGAGAAGUAGUAAGUAGAUGAUGGGUUGCUAGAGUGACAGAAGCUUAAACCCUAGUUUAUGCGUUNNNNNNNNNNCGGUUAGACUUUGUCUUAAUUCUUCUUUCAUAGUUGCAGAUGCUUGCGAGAGGGGUUAAUCAUAAGUGGGAUGCUUGUCCAAGUAAGGGCAGUACCCAAGCGCCGGUCCACCCACAUAUCAAACUAUCAAAGUAACGAAUGUGAAUCAUAUGAACAUGAUGAAACUAGCAUGACAGAAAUUCCCGUGUGUCCUUGGGAGCGUUUUUCCUCUUGUAAGACUUUGUCCAGGCUUGUCCCUUGCUACAAAAGGGAUUGGGACACUUUGCUGCACCGUUGCUACUUUUGUUAUUUGUUGCUUGCUACGAAUCAUCUCACCACACAAUCACUUGUUACCAACAAUUUCAGUGCUUGCAGAUUGAUACGUCUCAAACGUAUCUAUAAUUUUUGAUGGUUUCACGCUGUUAUCUUGUCUUCUUUGGUUGUUUUAUGUACCUUUUAUAUCUUUUUUGGGACUAACUUAUUAAUUCAGUGCCAAGUGACAGUUCCUGUUUUUUCCGUGUUUUUGACUCUUUUCGGAUAUGAUUUUGGAACGGAGUCCAAACGGAAGAAAAACCCCGAAAUGAUUUUNNNNNNNNNNUGGUUAGACUUUGUCUUAAUUCUUAUUUCGUAGUUGCGGAUGCUUGCGAGAGGGGUUAAUCAUAAGUGCGAUUCUUGUCCAAGUAUGGGCAGUACCCAAGCGCCGGUCCACCCACAUAUCAAACUAUCAAAGUAACGAACGCGGAUCAUAUGAACAUGAUGAAACUAGCAUGACAUAAAUUCCCGUGUGUCCUCAGGAGCGUUUUUCCUCUUGUAAGACUUUGUCUAGGUUUGUCCCUUGCUACAAAAGGGACUGGGCCACUUUGCUGCAGUGUUGCUACUUUUGUUACUUGUUGCUUGCUACGAAUCAUCUCACCACACAAUCACUUGUUACCGACAAUUUCAGUGCUUGCAGAUUUUUCCUUGCUGAAAACCACUUGUCAGAUCCUUCUGCUCCUCGNNNNNNNNNNUGGACAUGAUGCCUAUAGAAAUAAUCAUUGCAUAGAUAUCGUCACGACUUUACGCGGUUCUAUCAAUUGCUCGACGGUAAUUUGUUCACCCACCAUCUACUUGCUUUCAUGAGAGAAGCCACUAGUAAACACUACGGUCCCCGGGUCUAUUCACAUCCAUCAUUUACAUCUCCGCUUUUACUUUGCUUUGUUACUUUGUUGCUUUCAGUUCUCACUUGGCAAACAAUCUAUAAGGGAUUGACAACCCCUUCAUAGAGUUGGGAGCAAGUUUUUGUGUUUGUGCAGGAUCUUGAGAUACUCCUCCACUGGAUUGAUACCUUGGUUCUCAAACUGAGGGAAAUACUUACCACCGCUACGCUACAUCACCCUUUCCGCUUUGAGGGAACACCAACACAAGGCUCCAAGGCCACGGGGGAAAUCCUUUGCAUACUUGCCUAGGAANNNNNNNNNNAACUGGAUUGAUAUCUUGGUUCUCAAACUGAGGGAAAUACUUACCACCGCUAUGCUACAUCACCCUUUCUGCUUCGGGGGAACACCAACGCAAGGCUCCAAGGCCACGGGGGAAAUCCUUUGCAUACUUGCCUAGGAAGUCCCUUAAGGCGUAGCCGCAGCAGAAAGAUCAAGCCAAGUAUUCUCCCGUCGACGUGCCUAUUUCUGGCGCGUUGGAAGGUCUUUUGUUGCAGUAGUAGUGCACAAAACCCACCAUUAGCCUCCCUCAAAACAGCAUGAUUGUAAGAUAGCUAGCAUGAUGUUUCCAUUGAUGCCUAUGCCAUGCUAGAUCAUUCCCACGGUACACUACCGAAGGCAUUCCAAAUAGAGUCAUCGUUACUCUAAAUUUUGAGUUGAAAGUGUGAUGAUCAUCAUUAAUGGAGCAUUGUCCCAUGUGAGGAAAUAAAAGAGGCCAAAGAAGCCCACCAAAAUAUAAACAAAGGCCAAAGAGCCCACCAAAUAAAAAAUGAGAGAAAAAGAGAGAAGGGACAAUGCUACCACUUUUUCCACACUUGUGCAUAAUAAGCACCAUGAUCUUCAUGAUUGAGAGUCUCUCGUUUUGUCACCACCAUAUAGCUAGUGGGAAAUUUUCAUUAUAUAACUAGGCUUGUAUAUUCCUAUGAUAGGCUUCCUCAAAAUUGCCUUAGGUCUUCGUGAGCAAGCAAGUUGGAUGCACACCCACUAGUUUUCUUUAAGAGCUUUCACAUACUCAUAGCUCUAGUGCAUCAAUUGUAUGGCAAUCCCUACUCAUUCACAUUGAUAUCUAUUGAUGAGCACCUCCACGGCUCAUUGAUAUGCCUAGUUAAUGUGACUAUCUUCUCCUUUUUGUCUUGCAACCUCCACUACAUUCCACACCACCUAUAGUACUAUAACCAUGGCUCACGCUCAUGUAUUGCGUGAGAGUUGAAAAGGUUUGAGAAAGUAAAGGUGUGAAACAAUUACUUGGCCCAUACCGGGGUUGUGCAUGAUUUAAAUUCAUUGUGCAAUGAUGAUAGAGCAUAGCCAGACUAUAUGCUUUUGUAGGGAUAACUUUCUUUUGGCCUUGUUAUUUUGAAAGUUCAUGACUACUUUGCUAGUUUGCUUGAAUUAUUAUUGUUUCCACGUCAAUAGAAAACUAUUGUUUUGAAUCUAAUGGAUCUAAACAUUCACAUCACAUAAGAGGAAUUACAAAGGACACCUAUGCUAGGUAGCAUGAAAGCAUCAAAAAUUCAUUCUUAUCACUUCCCUACUCGAGGACGAGCAGAAGUUAAGCUUGGGGAUGCUUGAUACGUCUCAAACGUAUCUAUAAUUUUUUAUGGUUUCACGUUGUUAUCUUGUCUUCUUUGGUUGUUUUAUGUACCUUUUAUAUCUUUUUGGGGACUAACUUAUUAAUUCAGUGCCAAGUGCCACUUCCUGUUUUUUCUGUGUUUUUGACUCUUUUCAUAUCUGAUUUUGGAACGGAGUCCAAACGGAAGAAAAACCCCGAAAUGAUUUUUUCCCGAACGGAAGAAGAUCAGGGGGCCUUUGGGCCAACCCAGGUGGGCUCCAAGGAGCCCACAAGCUCCCACCACGCCACCAGGGGGGAGGCGGCGGUAGGCAGGCUUGUGGCCACCCUCGCCGCCCCCUGACCUAGAUCUUUGGCCUAUAAAUUCCAAAUAUUCCGCAAAAAAUCAGGGGAGCCUCGAAAAUACUUUUCCGCCGCCGCAAGCUUCCGUUUCCGCGAUAUCUCAUCUGGAGACCCUUCCCGGCACCUUGCCGGAGGGGACUUUGGANNNNNNNNNNUCCCACCACGCCACCAGGGGGAGGCGGCGGUGGGCAGGCUUGUGGCCUCCCUGGCCGCCCCCUGACCUAGAUCUUUGGCCUAUAAAUUCCCAAAUAUUCCGCAAAAAAUCAAGGGAGCCUCGAAAAUACUUUUCCGCCACCGCAAGCUUCCGUUUCCACGAGAUCUCAUCUCGAGACCCUUCCCGGCACCCUGCCGGAGGGGACUUUGGAGUUGGAGGGCUUGUUCAUCAUCAUCAUCGCCCCUCCAAUGACUCAUGAGUAGUUCACUUCAGACCUACGGGUCCGUAGUUAGUAUCUAGAUGGCUUCUUCUCUCUCUUGGAUCUUCAAUACAAAGUUCUCCGUGAUCUUCAUGGAGAUNNNNNNNNNNCGUUGGAAGGUCUUUUGUUGCAGUAGCACAGAUUUUUCCUUGCUGAAAACCACUUGUCAGAUCCUUCUGCUCCUCGUUGGGUUCGACACUCUUACUUAUCGAAAGGACUACGAUUGAUCCCCUAUACUUGUGGGUCAUCAGGAGACAACCCAACACUUUUACUUUUUGUUUUUUGGUGUUCGCAUGAUUAAGCUACUGUAUUAAUCAUGUUUUAUGCUUUUUAUUUCAAUAAAAUGCCAAGUAAAGCCUUUGGGAUAGUGUAGGUGACAGUUGACUUGAUUCCGUGCAAAAAACAGAAACUUUUGCUCUCAGUCCAGAAAUUUUGUAAAUCCACUAGAACGUGAUUUUGAUCUGAAUUUUUUACACAUGAUUGAUAUACAAAUUGCUUGGAUUUUCCUAAUGUUUCAGAAUUUUUAGAGACACAGAAGUAUGGUUACAUUACAGAUCUUCACACACUGUUCUGUUUUUGACAGAUUCUGUUUUGCAUGCAUAGUUUGCUUUUUUUAUUAUUUCCAUAGCUUAUAUUCAGUGAUAUAAAUUACGGGGUGGUAGAAUGCAGUAGGUAUCAUGUUAGAACAAUUAUGAAUCUUUUCUUGAUAGUACCUAAGUGAAUGUUCAUUAUUUUUUAUACUAACCCAUCUCACGAAGUUCCGUUAAGUUUUGUGUGAUUGAAGUUUUCAAGUUUUGGGAGACACCAAUAUGAGGAGAAUAAGGAGUGAAAAUAACCUAAGCUUGGGGAUGUCCAAGGCACACCCAAGGUAAUAUAUAAGUAAGACUCAAACUCUUAAGCUUGGGGAUGCCCCGAAAGGCAUCCCCUCUUUCGUCUUCAACAUUAUCGGUAUAUCUUACUUGGAGCUAUAUUUUUAUUCGUCACAUAAUAUGUGCUUUGCUUGUAUCGUCAUUAUAUUUUGUUAUUUUAUGUUAGGUGUUACUCAUAAUCUUGUUUUUCAAUAAAAAGCUUGAAAGGGCGUGGAUGUCGCCUAGAGGGGGGUGAAUAGGCGCUUUAAAAUAAUUACGGUUUAGGCUUGAACAAAUGCGGAAUAAAACUAACAUUUAAUUUAUCAAGCACAAAACCUAAAACAACUAGGCUCACCUAUGUGAACCAACAACUUAUGUUAAGCAAGAUAAACAACUAAGUGAUAGCAAGAUAUUUGACAAGAAACAAUAUGGCUAUCACAAAGUGCAUAAGUAAAGGGUUCGGGUAAGAAAUAACCAAGGCAUGCGGAGACGACGAUGUAUCCCGAAGUUCACACCCUUGCGGAUGCUAAUCUUCGUUUGGAGAGGUGCGGAGGCACAAUGCUCCCCAAGAUGCCACUAAGGCCACCGUCAUCUCCUAACGCCCUCGCACAAUGCAAGAUGUCGUGAUUCCACUAAGGGACCCUUGAGGGCGGUCACCGAACCCGUACAAACAAGGUUGGGGCAAUCUCCACAACUUAAUUGGAGGCUCCCAACAACACCACGAAGCUUCACCACAAUGUCAUAUGGCUUCGAGGUGACCACAAAUGCUCGGGGAAAUCUCCACAAGUUAAUUGGAGACCCCGACGCUUGCCCGGAGCUUUACACCACAAUGAUUGAGCUCUGAGGCACCACCAAGCUUCUAGGGGUACCAAGUACCCAAGGGUAAUAAGUUUUCUCAACUUCUCACUUUCACGUAUCACCAUGGAGAACUCAAACCAAUGCAACUAAUGCAAUGGCAAGAACACACGAAGUGGUCAAGUCCCUCACACUCAAAUCCCUCCACAACAACAAAAGUUGUGGAGAAAUAUCAGAGGAGGAACAAGGAGCUCACAAAGAACUCCAAGAUCAAGAUCCAAGGGGUUCCCCUCACAUAGAGGAGAAAGUGAUUGGUGGAGAUGUGGAUCUAGAUCUCCUCUCUCUUUUCCCUCAAGAACUAGUAAGAAUCAUUGGAGGGAUUGAGAGUUAGCAAGCUCUAAAAAGGUCAAUAAUGGGGAAGAACACGAGCUCAACAGAUGGAUUCGGUCCAAUGGGGAAGAAGACCCCCUUUAUAUAGUGGGGAAAAGAAUCCAACUGUUACCCCCACUCACACCCCGAGCGGAGCGGUACUAUCGCACGGUAGGAAAAAAAUUACUAUCGUGACUACCACCGCUGAGGUUGUAGAUGCAAAGAAAGUCCGAGGAAGCUUUACUACCGCCCGAGAUCGGUAGUAAAAAAACUACUACCGCUCUAGGAGCAGUACUACCGCUCGCACCAGGAGCGGUACUGCCGCUGGAUACUGAAACUGCCAUAACUUUCGCAUACGAACUCCGAAUCGAGCAAACUCAAGCUUGUUGAAUUCAGGACGGCAAGAGCUAUCGAACAGCGGUUAUGAAAAUUCCAAUUAUAUAGAUAUGUGAUACCUCUACGAAUGAAGAACCGGCAAAAAACUUCCAACGUCGAAAACAUCAUAGAAGAUGCAUAUGGACUCUGUUUUCGAUGAACUCGAGCAUGUCACGAAGAUGAACAUAAGCUCUAAAACUCACAAAGAGAAACACCAAACAAGAACCAAGAAAUAUGAUGCAAGGAUGCAAAUGGUUUGAGCUCUCAAUGAACGAUACGAUCAAGCUACUCACUUGAGAGCCCCCCUUGAUAAUACGACAAUCUAUCCUAAAAUAGAAAACCUAUCAAGGGCACCUAGUCCUGUUGAGCUAGAUGAUGAUGAUCUUUGCUUCCUCAAGAUGGACCACAUUUCUUGACUGUGUUGGUUUGAUGAAGACCGGUUGAUAGCCCCCCAUACUCACUAUGGGUGAGUGAUGUCUACGCACGCUUCUAUUCUUGUAGACUAUGUUGGGCCUCCAAGCGCAGAGGUUUGUAGGACAGCAGCAAUUUCCCUCAAGUGGAUGAACUAAGGUUUAUCAAACACAGGGAAGUAGAGGCUGAAGAUGGUUCUCUCAAGCAACCCUGCAACUAAGAUACAAGAAGUCUAUUGUGUCCCCAACACACCUAAUACAAUUGUCAGUUGUAUAGGUGCACUAGUUCGGCGAAGAGAUGUUAAAACGCAAGUGAUAUGGAUGGUAAAACAAGGUAUUGUAAAUCUGAAAUAAAAAUGGCAGCAAGAAAACAUGAAACAAAACUGGAAGUAAACGGUGUUCAGUGGUGGAAAACAAGGCCUAGGCUUCAUACUUUCACUAGGGACAACUCCCAACAACAUUAGCAUAGUCUAAUCACAUGAUAUUUCCACUAAAACAUGCAAUGGCGACAUACUCGGAGGUCAUUCCUUUGUGAUCAAGAGAGGACAAGAAUUAUGUAGGGCUACAAAAGCACACCUCAGAGUUCGUAGUUCUCAUCUAUGGAUUUCCCAAUGUCACCGCGGCCAUCCAAAGAGAGUACCACAAUCACCACAACUUAUCUCAAGGAUAGUCAAAGACAAGCACCAAGAGACUCUCAAUCUUCAAUCAAUUCACAAAAGAGAAAAUCACUCAUGAAAAUAUUCUUCUAAUCCAUGUCCAAUAGACCGCUGUCACCAUGGUCUCAAGGAUUAUACUAGAUAAGAUCAAGUGAGUACAUCAAUCCAAUACAUAGAAGAAGGGGAAACAUCAUGGGAUCACCCUAGGUUAACAUAACCUAUGAUCACAAUCAAGAUCACAUCAUGCGAGAGGGAAUUAACCACAUAGCUACACGUAGAGCCCUCAGCCCCGAGGGAGACUAGUCACACAUGGCCAUGGCGAGCAAGAGGUUGAUGGAAAGGUGCAGCCCGGAGGGGAGACGGCGGCCACGGCGGCGGCCACGACCCUUGGGGGUGGCGGCCCUUGGCCCCCUUCUUCCUUGGAGAUGGUGAUGGUAUGGAGGUGGUUCUCCACCCCAAGGCGGCUGCCUGGGAGGAGGAAAUCUUGUGGCUCUUGGUGGCUCUACAGGAAUUAGGUUUUUCCUCUCCUUAUAUGAGUCGCGACGAUCAUCCUUGGCCCUUCGAUGGAUGCCCAUUUGAUCCAAGGGCUCUUGGGCACCUCUAGAACCUUCCUAGGAACCCCUAUCAGCCCUAAUGAGGUCCCCAAGUCAUGGCUUGGGCGAAUCCAUCUAAUAUGGUAAGAGUUGGACUCAAUCACGUCACCGAUUCCCGUAAUCCUGUAAUCACAUAUUUGUCCUCCAGUAAAACGGGCUUUAUUGGAGCGUACAAACUCCAAAUGGGCCGAAUAUUAUGUCUAGAAUUAUUAGAAUAUAAUUCCCCACAACUUUUGCAUCUAUUAUUUUUCAUUUUACGUCAUCUUCGAGGCGGAAACAGACUAUCUCUAAAAACUGUAGGGGCAUAUUUCAGGAAAGUCAGAGUCCCACUCCAAUAAAGUUUCAUCUUCUGUUUUUGAUGGUUCCUACACACCAAAGUGUAAAACAAGAACAUUGUGCACUUUUGCAACUAUUAGUAGGUUAGUCCAAAUAAAUCAUAAACUUAAUAUAAAACAAUUCUCAAAAGCAUAAAAGUAGCAUGAAACCAUCAAAAAUUAUAGAUACGUUUUGGACGUAUGAGUGAGCCAUCGCUAUAUUGCUGAUGAUAACCACUUGAUGUCAUCCUUCAUAGGUUGAAUGGGAUCUUCCUCUUGACGCAAACCCAUGGAGACACACCUAACCCCACAUAGAACUCUCACGAAGACCAUGGGUUAGUACACAAAAGUGUUAUGGAUAAUGCUUACCAUACCAUGGGAUCACUUGAUCCCUCUCGGUACAUCUUGUACGCUUUGUGUGUUUAUCAUCUUGAUUUAUUCUUUGUCUUAGUCUUGAUCAAGCUUAUGUCUUUAUGACCAUUCUUUGGAUAAUACCUUGAAUACUACCUUGGUCAUCAUAUAAAGAAGUGAAUAUGGACAAAUCCUUAGAAUAUAACUCAAUGCAACCAUUAGUCCAUGGGAUUGUCAUUAAUUACCAAAACCACAUACAGAGAAAUAUGCUCUAACAAAGUUCCAAGAAUUGCCUUUAGGAUGCUUGCAUUGCAUGUUUGAUGUAUGCUGUGUAAAGACAGAGACUUUUAUUGUAGAGUUUGAAUUUUCAUAUUUUACUGGAACGUGGAAAGUUUCUGAAUUUUUUACACAGUGUUGUAAUAUAAAUUUUAUAGCAUUUCCUGAAUUUUCAUAAUUUUUUGAGUUACGAAAGUACACUGUUUUCAUAAAUUGCUACAGACCGUUCUGUUUGGACAGAUUGCUGUCAUAGUUUUGUUAUCUACUUAUCCUAUAGUUUCCAUAGCCUAUAUUGGUAGUUAUAAAUUGUGGAAAUAAUAGUAUACAUUACCCAAUUUUUGGAAAUUAUUGUGCAACUUGUCUUGGUAGUACAUGAAGUGUUGAUUUGUUCUUAUGUGUACUAACCUAUCUCACGAGUUCUUUUUGAGUUUUGUGUGGAUGAAGUUUUUGAGAAUAGGUGAAACCGGGAUAUGAGAAGAUUGAACAAGAUACAAAAGCUCAAGCUUGGGGAUGCCCAAGGCACCCCAAGUUAAUAUUUCAAGAACUCUCAAGCAUCUACUUGUAUCCUAUGAGUAAAUGGUUGAAUGAAUUGAAUAUCAUAAAUCUAAAAUUAUAUAUGUUUUUUAUGCUUAUCCCAUGUGGAGUAAUGACUUCACAUAUAAGAAGUAUAUGUGGUAAAAUUUAUUGAAAGAUAGCAAACACCGCAUUGGUCACUUGAACAAUUCACGAAAGAAUAUUGAAGGAAGAGAGAUUUCACAUAUAAAUUUACUAUCUUGGAAAUCUUCUAUGAUUGUGAAUACCCGUUAAUUAUUUUCAAACUUGAGCAAAUUAGUUGAAGAUUGGACAAGGAAGACAACGUAAUGAGUUAUGCUUGGGUAUAUUUGUAUAGAAGUUAUAUUGUUAUGGAUCCUCCAACAUGUGGUGCUUGCUUCCACCUCAUACUAGCCAAAACUUCCGCACCAAGUAGAAAUACUACUUGUGCAUUCAAAUACCCUUAAACCCAAAGUUGUUUGUCCAUAUGAAUCCACCAUACCUACCCAUAUGCGGUAUUUAUGUGUCGUUCCAAGUAAACUUGCAUGUGCCAAACUCUAAACCUUCAAAUAAUAUUCUGUUUUGUAUGCCCGAAUCGCUCAUGUAGUGACUAGGGGUUGUUAGUAUAUUCGAUGCUAGGUGGGUUAUUCUCACGAUAUGUGUUGAUUCACUAUCAUUCACGAGAAAGUGGCUGGUAUUCGGGAUGCCCAUUUCCAUGCUCCAAAUUCAAAUCAAAAUAUAAUGAAACAAAACUCCCCCAGGAUUGUUGUUUAUAUGGAUGGUACCCAUGGAUUCGGCUCGCCGUGGAGUGUGAUUGAUUGGUGGAGGGGGGGUAAAAAAAUUACCACUCUAUUUGGGAACCGCCUAUAAUGUAUCUAACAUGAAAGAUAUCGAGAUCCCUCGGUUGUUAUGUUGACAAUGAAAGCAUACCGCUCAAAAUUAUUAUUCAUCUCUGUUUUAAAAGCUUGAGCUUUGGCACCUCUGCAAAUCAAUGCUUCCCUCUGUGAAGGGCCUACUUUUAUUUUCUACCACUUACCUUUAUGCAAGAGUCAUGGUGAUCUUCACGACUUCCUAUAUUUCGCCUGUUUCUCUUGACAAGCAUCAUGUGGUGGGGAAAGAUCCAAGCAUAUAUGUCCAUUCAAAUAUAUUUGAUCGUGAAUUAUUAUUGUUGACAAUUAUAUAUAUUAUAAAUAAGUUGGGAGGCGAAACUUUAAGCCCAUAUCUUUCUCCGUGUUCGACGGAUGCCAUUUGCUCUUAAAAUAUGCUUUGAGUGUUAGCAAUCAUGGAAGACUAUAUGCUAGUUGAGUAUGUGGAAUUUGCUAAAUCAAAGCUCUUACAUAGACCCUUCCUGAAAAUAAGAUGAAUUGCAAUUGUUUGAUGACUAGGAUUAUGGUUUGUUAGUUUUCAAGAAACUUUUUGGUCUAUACUUUAACAUGUGAAUAGCUUGUUACUUGAUCAUGAGAAGUUUUAUGAGAUGAGCUAUUGUUUAUGGUUUAUAUUUAUGCUAGAAAAAGUGAUUGGAAGUAUCAUUUGUCAAACUUGUGCACUUGCUAGCAUUCACACUUCAUAAAUAUUUCUUUUAUCAUUUACCUACUCGAUGACGAGCAGGAAUUAAGCUUAGGGGUGUUGAUACGUUUCCGGCGUAUCUAUAAUUUAUGACGUAUUCAUGCCAUGUUUACAAUAAUUAUAUAUGAUUUUGGUAUGAUUUUAUUAGAACUAACCCGGAGUGACGCUGUUUUCAACAGAACUACCAUGCUAUCGUUUUUUGUGCACAAAUAGAAGUUCUCGGAAUGGGCUGAAAAUUUACGGUGAUUUUUAUGGACCAAAAGAGACCCCCGAAGCACCAGAGUUGGGCCAGGAAGUGGAUGAGGAAGCCACAAGCCUGCUGGGUGCGGCCACCCCCUAGGUCGUGCCCCCGUGGCUUGUGACUUCCUCGGGAACCUUCCGGACGUGAGACCGAUGCCAAAAAUUCCUAUAAAUACCAAAAAAACCCAGAAAGAAACCUAGAUCGGGAGUUCCGCCGCCGCAAGCCUCCAGAGCCACGAAAAACCAAUCUUGGCCCUAUCUUCACCGGAGGCCAUCUUCAUCAUCCCGGCGGUCUCCAUAAUCGCCAUGGAGGCCAAGGACCAGAGGGAGAACCUCUCCCCACUCAAGGGGGAGACCAUGGAGGAGGAAGCACAAGGGGGACCUUUCUCUCUCUCUCUCUCUCUCUCUCUCUCUCUCGAUGGCGCCGGAGUGCCAUCGGGAGAACCAUCGCCGUGGUGAUUGUCUUCAUCAACAACACCUUUUUCAUCACCAUCAUCAUCUCCUCUCAGCGGUCCACUCUCCCGCACCUCGUUGUAAUCCCCUACUUGUACAUGGUGCUUUAUGUCGCAUAUUAUGAUUCAAUGAUGUGUUGCCAUCCUAUUAUAUUUUGAGUAGAUUUCUUUUGUCCUUUGGGUUGAUUGAUGAUCUAGAUUGGUGUGAGUUGUAUAUUUAUUUUGGUGAUGUCCUAUGGUGCCUUCCGUGUCGCGCACACGUGAAGGAUUCCCGUUGUAGGGUGUUGCAAUGCGUUCAUGAUUCGCUUAUAGUGGGUUGCUUGAGUGACAGAAGCAUAAACCCGAGUAAGGGGGCUAUUGCGUAUGGGAUAAAUGGGACUUGAUACUUUAAUUGUAUGGUUGGGUUUUACCUUAAUGAUCUUUAGUAGUUGCGUAUGCUUACUAGAGUUUCAACCAUAAGUGCAUAUGAUCCAAGUAGAGAAAGUAUGUUAGAUUAUGCCCCUCCCUCAUAUAAAAUUGCUAUAAUGAUUACCGAUCUUGUUAACAAUUGCCUAGGACAAUUCCGCACACCGACCCAUCAUUAUUCCAUACUUGUUGUUUGUAAUAUAUUGUAAUAUAUUCUAACUUUAUGAUAACAACACCUAUUUUUAUAUUCUAGUUCUCUGUUAUCAUGCAAAGCUAUUCUCUUCAUACCACCAUGUAGUUUUAUUUCUCGUUUCUAGUUGGAAGCAAACGUCCGGUGUACGUAGAGUCGUAUCAUUGGCACAUAGGACUUGAGAGAAUAUUGAUGUUACCUUUAGCUCCUUAUAGGUUCGACACUCCAUACUUAUCACUUCCACCUUUGAAAAUUGCUAUGAUGAUUCCUUACACUUGGGGAUUAUCAGCCCAAGGGUGGCGCACCAUCCCCUAGUGGUCUGGUGGCCAGCCCAAGAGGGCCUAGGUCGGCUGAAGUGGGAGAAAAGGCAUGGAGAGGAGGCCAAUCCGAUUUGCCUUCCAAGUGGAGUUGGAGGAGGACUCCUCCCUCUCCCUCUUGCGUCGGUCGAAACCCUAGAGGUUUCCCUAGGGCGCCGCCCCCUCCCUCCCACCUAUAUAUAGUGGAGGUGAUAGAGGCUUUUGGCACUCAAGCAAAAGUGCAGCUCUCUCUCCCUCCACAACUUCGACACCCCGUAGCUAGAUUAGUCCGGCACGGCGAAGCCCUGCCGGAGUAGCUCCACCACCAUCACCGUUACGUCGUUGUGUUGCCGGAGAAUUCAGCUACCUCUUCACCCCUCUUGUUGGAUCAAGAAGGCGGAGAUCUUCACCGAGAUGUACAUGUGUUGAACGCAGAGGUGCCGUACGCUCGGUACUAAAUCGGAACGGAGUUCGUGGGACGGAUCGUGAUUGGAUCGCAAAGAUGUUCGACUACAUCAACCAUGUUUCUUAACUCUUCCCGCUUAGCGAUCUACAAGGGUAUGUGGAUCUGAUCUCCCCUCUUGUAGAUGAUCAUCACCAUGAUAGGUCUUUCGUGUGCGUAGGAAUUUUUUUGUUUCCCAUGCAACGUUCCCCAACAUCUCUCUCGUAGUAAUUCUCCAUCAUAGCAAUCGCGACAGCGCUUGGCGAAGCCCUGCUGAAAUUGCACCACCACCACCGUCACCACGCUGCCGUGCUGCCGGAGUACUCAACCUCUAGUUCAACAUCGCUCUCUGGAUCAAGGAGGUGAAGGCAUCAUCGAGCUGUACGUGUGCCGAAAGCGAGGUGUCGUAUGUUCGGAAGACGUUCCACUACAUCAACCGCGUUCUUUAACACUUCCGCUUAGCGAUUUACAAGGGUAUGUAGAUGCAAUCUCUCCUCUUGUAGAUGGUCAUCUCCUAGAUUGUUCUUGGUGAAGCGUAGGAUUUUUUCCCAUGCAACGUUUCCCCAACAAGGAGGUAUAAUUGUUGUUCCUAACGACAAAAAUGAACUUAUCCUACAAAGAAUUGUAACUGGUUGUAGGAUGGUAAUUGAUUUCAGGAAAUUAAAUAAAGCUACUAAAAAAGAUCAUUACCCCUUGACUUUUAUUGAUCAAAUUUUAAAAAUAUUAUCUAAGCAUACACAUUUUUGUUUUCUUAAUGGAUAUUCUGGUUUCUCUCGAAUACCUCUGUCAAAAGAAGAUCGAGAGAAACCUAUCUUUACUUGUGUGUUUGGAACUUAUGCUUAUAGAUGUAAUGCACCUGCUACCUUUUAAAGGUGUAUAGCUGCUAUAUUGUGUGACUUUUAUGAAAAGAUUAUUAAGGUAUUCAUGGAUAAUUUUUCCAAUUAUGAGACGUCUUUUGAUGAUUGCUUAGGCAACCUUGUUCGAGUUUUGCAAAGACGUGAAAAAACUAAUCUUGUCUUAAAUAGGAAAGUGUCCCUUUAAGGUGAAUGAAGGUAUAAUACUGAUGCCCCAUAAGUAUAGGGGAUCAACUGUAGUCAUUUCGAUAAGUAGAUGUAUAUACACCCAUAGAACAAAAGUUCCCCUCCAUAUGAGGAGCCGCAUGUUUAGCUCUAUUGAGGUUUAAAGUUAUCGCGAAAAACACAACUUUUCCCACGUACUUCUCAUGUCAUGAGGCAACUCGCCGGAUUAAAAUGUAGCCGAACCGCACACGUCUGACAUCGCCUCACAUAACUUAAUUUAUUUUGGAAAUUUCCAUAUACUUGUAUUGGGGUCAUGUUGAUGUACAUGCUAUUCUUGGGAUCAUAUUGAUGUACCGGUAAUUUAUCUCUGAGCCUGGGCUCGUAUAAACCCGGUGAACAGUACCAUGUUUUAGACUACCAAAAAUGUUUUAAAAAGUCCAAUUUUUUUCAUGAUGCAAGAUCCUCUUAUGUGUGAACUCCCUGCAAAACUUUAUGAAAUUUGAACAUUCAAGAAACUCACGGCAAAAAAGACAAAAUCAGGCAUGAAUAGUGCACUUUUCAAAUGUUUCUCACACAUCUGAAACUUGUCUUUUUUGCCGUGAGCUCCUCAAAUGUCGAAACUACACAAAAAUUUGCAAGCAGUUCACACAUAGGAGCAUCUUACACCAUAAAAAAAUUGAACUUUUUUGAAUACUUUUUGUACCUCAGAACAGGGUACUGUUCAUGCACGAGCUCAGAUGAGCCUGGGAGCCAAAUUGCCGUGUUUCUACUUCCUCCCCUCUCUCUCUCCCCUUGUAUUAUCUCGGAUUAUAAACGGAAUUGAAGAUUUUAGAGAGAGAAAAGACAAGCUAAUUGCAAGACCAUCAUAGAAUGCAUGUUCCAUCAAUACCGAGAUCGUCCAUGACGCCACUCUACUAUGCAUCUGAUAUGGUAUGAACAAACCUUAGCAGCUAACUUUCUAAACACCAUUUUUUUUCAGAUUAAGAUGGAUCAGGAGGAGAAUGCAUGGCGGACCUUGUUCUCAAGGAACGAAACCAACUCAAGGGUGGUGGCACCGAGCCUCGACGACAGCAGGCAGCGAGGUCGCAGCCGCGUGCAAACGAUACAUGCCGGGUCUGAAGGUGGGCAUAGAAAGAGCAUUGGUAUCCUCGUCUGCUUAGACGUGAUGAUCAACUGCCAAAAUUAUACCACAUCACACGAAUAUGUAGCAGCAAACUUCCCCAGUGACAGUACGGCAUGUAUUUUGAGCACUGGUAUCCGGUGACAAAAUUGAAUAUACACCUCAACUAGGAUGAACGCGGAUGUAUGUAUUACUCUUUCAUCCAAAACGCAAGCACGGACACCGCCUUGGCCUGCUUGUGUUGCUGGCGAUGGCGAGGGGACCGUCGAGAGAAGACUCACUUCUUUUCCGCUGCUUUAUGGUCUGGAAUCUUCAGCAUGCCACCGUCGAUGAGCGGCUGCACCUCGGAUUUCGCAAGAUCCUUCACCUUGGAAUCUGGAGAUUCCAGAUAGGCAGCCACCACCUUGGAGCUGCAGCAACGAUCAACAAGUUCAGAAGAGUAUCAGCGCAUGAUUCCCCUUUUAUUUCCUUCAAAAUACCACCUCAGCAGUGCAAUGUAGUACGUAAAUUGCAACAAAUAGUUGAAAUUGUAUUCGUCGCAUUUGCAUGGUCCACAAAUUUGAUGAACAGAUUAAACAACUGGCAUAUCGAUGAGGAAUCAUUUUGAGGUACCUGAAUCCAUCUGCAAAUGACUUGGACUUCCCUUUGAGGGCUUUUUCCCAUAGGGUAGCGGCAAACGCAGGGCAAUCAAGUACCAUCUUUCUGAUUACGCGGCUCGAGUGGUAGUUAUCAAAGGCAUGCUCAACAUCCUCUGUCCUCGGCCGUGCUGCGUCAGAAGCUAUAGCAUUGUGAAGCACGUGGAUCCUGUCGGUGACCCCCUCCAAGACAUUAUUUUUUCCACCUAUAGCAACCUUGGAAAAUGGCAAUACAGAAUCUCAGUAGGUGCAGUCAUGACGCUCUUCAAUGGUCAUUUACUCAUUUGUGUCAAGAGACAGACCAAGAAAACAGUAGGUAGGUUCGUGUGUAGACUGGAGUGCCAUUUUCUUUUACAGGAGGUUGAUUCAUCAUCAUUAAGGAAAAGUGAAUAAAAGUAAUACUAAGCACAGGCCUAGGGACCAACGCAUCCCAGAGAAAAGGUUCCAUCAACUCAUAAGAAUAUUUCCACAUUGUUGAAUAAUAAUCAGGAAAAAUGCUCGUCUCUUGUGAAGGUCAUGCAAGUAAAAUCAUAGCACUAUUUAUCACAAGUAGUCCCUUUCACAAAGAAAUGUCAUAGAUGAAUGAAUAUUAUCGCAAGAUACUGGCUAUAGAGGUACAGGUAGAAGCGUAGAGCAUGGACUAAGGGAUUACCUCAUAUAAUACAUCUUUGCCAAAGUUUGCUCGAAGUAACUCUCCAACAUUUUCAAUGCAAGUCUCAAUGAGAACCUGCAAAGGAAAAAAGAAAACCUACAUUAGGACUAGGGGUACGUGACUAUGGGACCAUAGUAAUGUCAGGAUCAGGGUGUCAUGUGACUAAUGAGGGCGUAGUAAUGUUGCGACUAGGUGUUCUUUCACAAAUAAUCACCCUAAAAUCAUAGUACUAGUGCAAGAAUAAAUGUAGAUCUCUUGAGGGGGGACACUACAUGCUCAAAAAGAAAUGCCAUUGAAUAAAUAAAUAAAUAAGUUAAAUACAUGUUAAGAGUAUCACCUCGAAAAGUUCGCUUUUCACCAACAGUUCUUGCCUCCGUUUAAACGGGUCCUUCUUGCUAUCAGAUGCAACCAGUGUGUCUUCUGAACCCCCAUGUUCUUUUUCAGCUACAUCAUCCAACUUACUAUCCAAGUUAACUUUAGCAGCACCCUCUGAUGCCUCAUCCUGAAACAAAAAAAAGCAAAUUUCUGGGGGCUAUCUCUCUUCAGAGUACUUAACAGUUAAUAGGGUAGGUAACUUGCCUUUGAAAUAAGGGAAGGCACACUGUACUUCAGACAACUCAAAUCAGUCGGAGUCAGAUAACGUGAGCAAAGUGGGUGAAGUAGCUGCAGCAAUGGGCGUCUCCCGUUCUGUUCCAGCAAGGAGCUCCAUCAUAAAGUCUCAUGUACGUGUAACAAACAAAUAAAAAUAAGCAUAUCAGAAGCUCGUUAUUGCUUUUACCUUGUCAAAUAUGAGUUCCUUUAACUGUUUUGUCAGCUCUUCAAUUACAACCUACAAAUAAUGAAAGUAAGCUAUAAGCAUUGUCUCUUCAGAUUGCUUGUAAUGGCAGCAUAACACUUGCUUCAAGCAAAUGAUUGGUGCUGGCUAACCUUAGUAAGAAGUUUUGUGUCAUCAACAAUGGAGAGAAGACAAGCAAGGAACUGGAGAAAAAAAGAUAUGUUAGUUUAGUUGAUGAUUGAUCACUUGGAAGCAUAAAACCAUCUGAAAUUACUGUGGAUUGGGAGAAUGUUUUUGAACGUUAAAGCAUAAAAUUCACACAGUAAAACCCUAUUUGAAUACUAAAAUAUACUAUUAGAAAUAUAGACACCACUUACAAGGCAUCCAUAAUCACUGAGAGCAAGCUUCAUAACCUGACCCUUCAAGCUUUUGAUAAUUUUCUUCCUAUCCUGAAAUGCAUUACCAAGUUAAAUGAUAAAACCACACUGGAAAUAAGCAAGAAUAAAAAGAAGUACUACUGAACAUGCAGCAUGAGGCACUAACUAACGUACGGUUCUUCCCGAAAAAACAAAAAAACAAAAAACUAACACACGGUUCAAUUUGCAUGACUGUUUAGUGUCUAAAAUCAACAGAGGUUAAUAAAUAAACAUUGGAUAAAGCAGAUGAGUUGGCAAAGUUAAAAAAAGUGAUCACUCUGAAAUCUGUCUUUCUAGAUACAAAUAAGAAAACAGAAAGACAAAAAAAAGACAAUGUACCUUCGCACUGCCAUGCUUGAGGCAAGCAAGCCCUAAUUUUAAUCCUUCCCUGGUCUGCAUGAUACGAAUGAGAAGUGGUUCUGAAGAUCUUUUCUUCUUAGCUUUUGAUUUUGUUGGUACUUCAGCGACACCUGAUAGUUCAUCUCCAUCUACGACAGAUGACCCUUGAGUAAGAUGGGGAAUUAACUGACGAAUCACGUCCGAGGCUGAUGUCUACGAAACACAUGCAUAUAUUAGAUAGUGCAAUAAGCUGAAGAAAUAUUUCAUCAAAAAAGGAGAGCUUUGUUGUAAAGAUAGGCCAAUCGCGUCAAUAAAAUACAUUUACCUUGUCCGCAAUUGUUAAGUACUCCAAUAUGACCGUGUGUACUAUGGAAUACUCAACAAUACCUUUUUCCAAAACUGGCUGGAUAACAGUAGUCAUAUACUGCAGGACAGAUGAUUUCUGUAGUCCAAGCUUAGAAAUUGUUUCUAACAAACUGAAAAAGAAAGUUGAAUUUUAGGAUAUUGAACUAAAUAAGUAACUGCAGCCACCUAUGUCAGGAUAAGUGAAUGACUACAAUAAUAUUUCCGUCCGCCCAAGUUAAAGUUUUGUACAGAGAAGUAACAAAAGUUAAGGGGACACUACAAAGCAGAUGUAUGACAAGACAUUAUAGCGUGCCAACCUGCAUGAUUUUUGUUCAGUCAAGUCCUUGAACAGCUGAAGCUCGGUGGAGUACAAUUCCAACAACAAACUUCUUUUCUGAGGCGGUGUCGCCUGAUGAAAGGUGCAAUCAACAACUGCGAAAAAGAGUGCAUCUCAAUGUAAGAUUUCCAUGUACCCCUUUACUUGUAUAGCAAAUAGAAACGCAUGUGUACAAUGGCAUUCAACCAUUAACUCCUGCUGCUCCUAUACACGACAAGUUCCUAUCCCUUAUGACAAUAACACAUAGCAACACAUACCUGCAGCUCCUAUUGUGUGACGAAGUAGAGAAGCGACAUGACCAUGAAGGGAAGAGAUGAACAAGGCAAGCUGUUUUUUAGUGGCUGCAGUCACAAACAAGAGGUAUGUUAGUGAAGCUAUAAGGGUUAUCAUAUAUGAACUCAUACGAGUUUUUAGCGAAUUGUAGAGAACUUUACCAAGUUUUAUGAGCUUCUUCACAAGAAAAACAGCGUAUUUCUUGCGAGAGAAAUGGAGCAAAUGUGGCUGCAGGGCAACAAAAACAGCAUCCCUCUCUGGCUGUGAGCACCACUUCACACAUGUCUGAAAAAGGAAUGGCGACUAUCAGAAUAAGGACGAAAACACCAUAAGAAGCGCGUUCAUAAAGAGUGAAUAUCGUCAGCUUACCUGAAGAACACGUGCGGUUACAUGGGAUCCAGCAAUUUCAAAAUAUUUGCCAUCCAUUUUACGGAGAGCCUCAGUCACUAGCCUGUAGAGAUGACAAACGCAUCGGCAUAAGAAGUUGACCAUAAGUUGCAACUCACAAGACUUUAAUAGUGACGCUUACUUGGAUCUAUUCUCCUUGCUCACAUCACGGCAUCUCAUCUUUUCCCAUAGUACUGCCAGUUCCUGUCGAUAUUAGGUGUCGGCGGCACACCAAAUUAGAGUUGGCCAGAGUAUGGUUAACUGAAUCAUCAUAUACAGAGUGGUGGUUGAAGCAGGCACUGCUACUAUUUAUUACUGGGAUAAAAGUCAGUUUUUGCUUCAUUGUCAAAAUUAAGUAAUGCUACCAGCAGAAUUCAAGUCCAAAAGUAAAAAUCAAGAAUAUGUAAUACUCAGAGGUCAAUUAUUUUGGUUUAGGCUACAAGCAGCAUUACAUGAUUGUUUAUUAUGUAUGCAGCAAGUGUAAUCUGAAGAUUGAACAUACAAGGAAACGUGAUCAUAAUGGGAGCAUACGGUACAAAACAAAAAUUACCUUUUCGAGGUUGUAAUUGGGCUUCCUCUUCAUCUUCCUCGACUCGGACAUUUCCUGCCACAAUCGACACCAUUCCACAGCUUCAGCACAAGCACAAGCAGGACCAAAGCGCAAGCUCUCCAAACGAGCUAAACAAGGAAGGGGCACCGAUGGAAUACCUUGGCGGCGACCCGCUUGCCCUUGGCGGUGACGGGCUGCGGCUUGGCCUUGGCGGCAGGGGCGUCAUGGGUUUUCUUCCGCUUGGUGGCGUCGCCGCCUCCCUUGGACGGCGCCUUGGGCCUCCCCGCGGCCUCGCGCUUCCGCUUGUUGGCGCCCGGGUGGUCACCACCUCCGGCCAUGGGAACACGAGGCGGCGUCGGCGAACGGGGGAGGAUGAACGAGGGUUUACUGGUCGCAGCACCGGAGGAGGAUGCCCAGAUAGGUUCGUUCUAGUCUAGGGGGCAGUUCUUUUCACCUCACGAUUCUCCAGAAUCUGAUUCUGGGAAACUGCCCACAGAAUCAGCUGUCCAGUUCUUUUCUGUGAUUCUAGCAUGUGAUUAUUGUAUGAGUUGUGUGCUGAAAUGUCUGUAACGCCCCUAGAUUGAACUGAGUGCUGAAUUACUAAUACUUGGUUAUUUCUGAUAGUUUCAUGUCUAAUAUGAACACGAAAGCUAGUUGCAAAUUUAAUAUGAAUUUAGUAAGCAAAUUUGCUUGUCCUACAUCCGACAAACUGGUGUUUCCAGGGGCGCGGUUAUUUGCUCGCACCUCUUCUACGCACACAUCCAUAUAAAUGGAAUGAUACGCACUAUCCCAAAUUGCUUUAGGAUGCUUCACUUUCUCCAUCUAAAACAUCCAUAUGUGAACGUUUUAAUGUACACAAUUUUUUUCAUUGCUAAACAGAGUUAAAAAAGAGUUUGUAUUUUUUUCAUUGCUAAACAGAGUGUAUUUUUUCAUUGCUGACCAAAUUGCAUAUGUGUGUACUACAUGUGUGUACUAUCGCGAGCAGCAUCAGCCAAGCAGCAGCAGCAGCAGGAGCGAAGCAGAGCACCAGCAGCCAGGUGGAGCGUCCGUAGCCAUCCUAGAGAUGUAGGGGAGAGAGAAGCUCACCAGCAGAGGCAGGAGUUGCUGGAGCUCUUGAUGAUGGCGGCGGGCUGGACGGGGCGGCCGCGCGCGCAGGUGUUGGCCGACGGGACGGGGCGUAGGGGGUGGCGGGGAAGGAGACGGGGCGGCUGGCCGCACAGUUCUCCGGGAUGGCGGCGGACGGUCGGGGUCGCCGGCUUGUAGCGGAUCUGACGCCGCCGCGGCGGGGUCGAAGGCUGGCGGCACUGAACCCUAGCUGGGGACGAAACGAGCGAGCGGGCUAUGGUGCCUGCAAAUUUUCGUGUUUUGACCCCAGAUCUGACCCCGAUUUUAAAAUUUUGAGAUUUAUUAAUUUUUUUGCCGUCAGGGUUCACGACGGUUGAGUAUACGAGCCUAUCGCCGAGAUUCUUGACGGUAAAAAACUUAUUUAUAUCAAUGGGGCGCAUCUUUAUCGUCAAACAAAUUAGUAGCAGAAUGUACAACCCUACUAUCCGAAGAUAGGUGCGAGCAUGUACUGUAUACAAUACUUAAAAAAUAAAAAUACGAUAGGACAUGCUAACCUAUCGUUAAGGGUCUCGACGAUAGGUUGUUAUACCCUAUCGUCAUGGACCCUGAUGGUAGGAAAAGGAUCAAGUCCCAAAAUUUUACAAACAAGGAUCAGAUCUUGCUCAACUUUUAUGAAAGGAUCAAAACAUGAAAAUUAGCCUCUCGUGGCUCUAUGCAUCUGUCAUUUUGGGCCCCUAUUUCCAAUUGCUCUGAGUUCGGACAUUUUGAGGGUAAAUAACUCGUUUAAUAUGGGUAGAACAUUAAAACCAAAUGUUUUCUUUCGAGGGGCUCGGCAUAAUCGUGAGAAUCGCCAACAUUCUCUGAUUUUCAUUUGCACUACUAUUCUUGUGAUUUCCAGAUAAUUUUAAAGAAGAAAAUCAAAUUCCUUUGCGAUUGUUGAUUCUCUCAACGCGAUUGUUGAGAAUCACCUCAAAAGAACUGGCCCUAGGAUUUAUCGCCUGCCAAUACCAGUCUGUCACCCAACAACGUAUGAGGUGGGUCGCACAAUGGGCUUGUGACAGUUCCAUUCGGCCUAAGUUACGUAACUCGGCUCGUCAUUCGGCAACCUCUUGUAGACGAUCGGCCUACAGGAUCGUGUCUGACCCGACAAAGCGUGAGAGGGUUGUUUGGUCAAUCCACCGCGGGGGUGAGGGAGCGCGCGCAAGGGUUUUCAUUUUCCCCAAUUUCCCAUCAUGGAGGUCGUUGAACACGCCAACAAAUGGGCGAACGACGGGCAGGCGCGUGAGACGUUGACGCGUGGGCGACCGCGAGGCGGGGUGGCCUCAGUCGGUGCGAGGUGCGAGAUCUGACCUUGGUUUGGAAAAAAAAUCUAAAUAUCGAAUAUAGUGUGUGUUUUGACCCUUGUUUGAAAAAAAAUCUAAGUAUCAGAUACAAUGCGUGUUCUGACCCUAGUUUUCUAAGUAUUGGAUUCUUCAAAUAUUCUAAGGGUCAACUACUGUAAAAAUAUAUAUAUACGAUAAUCGACCCUUUUACCUUACUGUCAAAACACGCAUUGUAUGUGAUACUUAAAGGUGUGAGAUCUCGCUCAACUAUUGUAAAAUGGUCAAAACAACCUCGACGGUAGGCUGGUAUACCCUACCUUCAUGGACCCUGGUGGUAGGAAAAGGGUCAGAUCCCAAAAAAAUCAAACUCGGGUCAGAUCUGGCUUAACUUUUGGAAAAGGGUCCGAACACAAAAAAUUGGCCCGCGUUGUGUGGGGCGCCUCUUUUUGAGCACUUGUGGUGUCGACGUGCGAGCGAUCCGGCGUGGUGCGGCCGUUCAUGUGGUCGCGCUGGCGUGCUCUGACCGCACACGCGUGUAAGAGCAGUGGAGGAGUGGGAUGGAAACCCUGAAUGGAAUGUGAGGGCAUCGCGCUAUCGCUGGAUGGGAGGGAUUGGUUGGUUGGAGAUCUCGCGGAUAUCUCGUCGUACGUGGUCGGGAUGCAAUCUGAUAGGCGGGCCUUCUCAGGGUCUUGAGAAAUGUUAAUUUGCAUUGAUUGCAAUCGGGGUGCUGGAUUCUGUGGCGCAAACAAAAAAAUGGCCCGGAAGAAAGGAAUCAGUCUCUUCAGUCCAGCUCACCCUAUUAUCAUUAACAUAUUGUCAUUAAUGAAACUAUUUUGACCUUGAAGCAUGUUAUGCAAAGGCUUGAUAUAAUUGAAAAUAAAAUUUCCACUAAAUAACAAAUUGAGGAGUUGGAUAAAAUAUUCAUACUAAUAUCACUCAAUUUGGAUCAAAGGUAGGAUUUACUUUGAAAGCAUUAAAGGAGAAAGAUACAAUUAUUAAUGAGCGCGUAGAGCAAGAUUUGAGUAUUUUAUAUAAUGGAGGAAGUCACUGAUAAAGUGGGUUAUGCUUCCACACCCUCUAAAAUUAAUGCUAUUACCUCUCAAAGAAAAAUUCCAAGGUUAUGUAUGUCCCUAAGAACACUAGUAUCACUCCUAUCAAAAGAAAGAAGGAUAUUAAAAUGAUUAGUGUGCAUCCCAAUUUUAUAAACAUGAUAAGAGACCCUAUCUUCAAGCCUCCUAUUUUUUCUAAGAAGCAUGGUUGUGUGAUUGAGGAGUUUGACAAGAAUACAACACUUGAAACUAUGCAUUAUGAAUAACUAGGGGCGUAAAACGAUAGCGCUUGUUAAGAAGCAACCCAAGAGUCAUCUUAAUUUUAUUGUUCUAUUUUCUGUUUUGUGUGAGGUAACAUGAUUAUUGAUACUGUAAUUAUUGUGUUUUUAUGUUUAAAUUAGUGUUUGUGUUAAGUAAAGCCUUUUGGAUGAUUUGAAUGAUAAGUAGAAUUGAAACGGUGCAAAAACAGAAACUUUUGCGUCUAGUGCAGAAUUUCUCUAAUUUUACUGGAACAUCUUUUUGAUAUGAAUUUUUUACACAAUAUUGGUAUACAAAUUUUGCAGGUUUUCUUGACUUUUCAGAAUUACAGGAGUUAUAGAAGUAGGUUGUCUUUGGUGAUCACUACAGACUGUUCUGUUUUAGACAGAUUCUAUUUUUACUUGCAUAGUUUGCUUGUUUUGAUGAUGCUAUUGAUUAUAUCGAGGGGUAUAAUUCAUGGAGAAGUUAUAAUACAAUACCUUAUGCAAUAAUAAAAUAUGAAUCAAUUUAUAAUAGCACCCAAUGUUUAUGGUUCGCCUAUCCUACUAACAGAUCUCACGAGAUUUCUGUUGAGUUUUGUGUGGUGAAAUUUUCAAGUUUUGGGUGUUAUCACGAUGGACGGAGGAAUAAGGAGCGAAAAAGAGACUAAGCUUGGGGAUGCGCAAGUAACCACGAGUUAAAUUCUAGGAAGACUCAAGCGUCUAAGCUUGAGGAUGCCCCGGAAGGCAUCCCCUCUUUCGUCUCAAUCAAUCGACAUGUCACUUGAAGAUAUAUUUUUAUUCAUCAUAUGAUAUGAGUUUUGCUUGGAGCGUCGUUUAUUAUAGUUUGCUUUUGUUUUAAUUUCCCACAAUCAUUGUUUACUGGACACACCCACUUGAUAUAGACACAUGUUCAACAUGAUUUGUUAGAAUACUCUAUGUGUUUCACUUAUAUCUUUUGAGCUAAGCAGUUGCUCUAGCACUUCACUUAUAUUUUGUAGAGCACAGUGGCGUAUAGAUUUCUAGAAAUCAUUGCACUCUCGUUCUUCACUUAAACAUGUUUGAGAGUUAAUAAAUAGUGACGAUAAUUAAUAUGUGUUGUAAGACUAGUUAAAAAAUAAUAGGUAUUCAAGGAGUGCAUAAUCAAAUCCUUCAUGUAGCACAUAAAAGAGAAUUUGUGAGUUAAUGAUAUUGAUAUGCUAAUAUGAAAAGGGCGUGAGUGCAUGGUUGUUGGUUAGUAAAUAUAUCGAUAGUUAAAGGGUGUUAAUUUUUUUUGUUCAUCUAAAUAUUGGCUAUGGCAUGGUGAUGAUGUGUGAGCAUUCUUAUUCCUCAUUGAAAUCCUAGUGUUGUUUAGGUCGGGGGCGCGCGAUGGAUAACUCCUACCAACCUCCUCCCUAGGGGCAUGUGAGUAGUACUUUGCUUAGAGAAAUCUAAUAAAAUAUUGUGAUAAGUAUACGAGUUCUUAUGGCUAACGUGAAUCCAUGGAUCUACGGCAUCUCACCUCCUCAUGUUUGCUAGCCUCUUCGAUAUCAUGCGUUCUCACUCUCACCUCAAGGAUCGGUGCAAACUUCGGCCGUGCAUCCAAAUCCAACGACAUGAUACACUAUGUUGCACAUAAGACACCUUAUAUCUUCCUCAAAACAGUCACCAUACCUACUUAUCAUGACAUUUCCAUAUCCAUUCCGAGAUAUAUUGCCAUGCAACUUCCACCAUUACAUCAUAUGACUAGUACACUCAUUGUCAUAUUGCAUUGCAUGAUCAUGCAGCUGACAUAGUAUUUGUGACAAAGCCACCGUUCAUCAUUGUUAUAAAUGUUACGCUAGACCAUUGCACGUAUUGGUACACUGUCAGAGGCAUUCGUAUAGUCAUAUUGUUUAGUAGUUUUUUAUUGAGUUGUAAGUAAAUAGAAGUGUGACGCUUUUCAUUAUUAGGGCACUUUCUAAGUGAGGAAAGGAUGAUGGACACUAUGAAUCCCCACAAGUCGAGAUGAGACUCCGGACAAAAAAUAAAAUGAAAAAAUGAAAAAAAAAANNNNNNNNNNAGGAAAAAAUAAAUAAGACAAAAGAGAAGGGACAAUGCUACUACCUCUUUUUCCACGCUUGUGCUUCAAAGUAGCACCAUGUUUUUCAUAUAGAGUCUCAUGUAUUUGUCACUUUAAUAUGCUAGUGAGGUUUUUUCAUUAUAGAAAUUGACUUGUGUAUUCCGAUGACAGGCUUCCUCAAAUACCCGAGGUCUUCAUGAGCAAGCAAGUUGGAUGCACACCUACUCAAAUUCAGUUGAGCUUUCAUACACUUAUAGCUCUAGUGCAUCCUUUGCAUGGCAAUCCCUAUUCCACACAUUGAUAUUGACUGAUGGAUGUACCCAUAGCCCGUUGGUCCACCUAGUUGAGGCGAGACUUUCUUCUCCAUGUUUACCCCUUUGAAAACUACCACCAUAUUCUAUUCCACCUAUAUGCUAUGUCCAUGGUUCACACUCGUGUAUUGAGUGAGUAAUAAAAAGCCGAAGCACGUUAAGAAGUAUGACCCAAUUGCUUGGCUUAACACCGUGGUGCUUGAAAUUUAUAUUUAUGUGGUAAAGACGGAGCCAUGCCAUGCUAAUAUGUUAAAAUGAAUGGGGGUUAAACAAUCUUUAAAGAUCAUAUAUUUUGAAAAUUGAUGAUUAUGUUACCUAUGUUCAUGGAUAUUACUAUGUUGUUGUUUGUUAAUUCAUCAUUUCUCAAUGACAAUAUGUGCAAGAGAUUACAUGUUGGGUAGCAUGUCACAUCAAAAUUUAUGUUUUUAUCAUUUACCUACUCGAGGAUGAGCAUGAAUUAAGUUUGGGUUUAUGUUAAUACUACUCAUGAGAUUAUAUUGAGUUCCUUGCUGGUCUAUGCAUAUAUAUGCAUGAUUAUGAUAGCUUCAUAAUUCUUUCUGAUCUAUUGAUUUGGUUUGGCGGAUUGAUUUAUCUUCAGCGGGAGAGGUGCGUUGUAGUGGGUUAAGUCUUGCGGUGAUCAAUCCCACUGAUAGAAAGGGACAUGACACACAUUGUAUUACUGCCACUAAGGGUAAAACAAUGGAGUUGAUUCAUGUUAAUUGGAUUUGCUUUGUCUACAUCAUGUCAUUGUUCUCCAAGCAUUACUUUUUCCACUUAAUACUCUAGAUGCAUGUUGGAUAGCGGUCGAUGGGUGGAGUAAUAGUAGUAGAUGGCAGCAGUCGGUCUACUUGCUUACGUACAUGACGCCUACAUGUAAUGGUCAUUGCCAUGAAUAAAUAUUUCAUAAUUAACUACUUUUCUAUCAAUUGCCCAACAGUAAUUCGUAUACCCACCGUAUACUUUCUACGUGAGAGAAGUCUCUAGCGGAAACUUUGGCCCCCAGGUCUAUUCACAUAUGUAAAUACAAAAAAUACAAAAUCACUUGUUAUUCUUAUUUUCUUUCUAUUUAUUUUUCAUUUAUAUUUAUCAAACUAUCCAACCAUGCUACUUAUUACUUGCAAGUAACGAGUUCAAGGGGAUUGACAACCCUCCUACCAGUGUUGGGUGCAAGUGUGUGUGCUCUUUUGAGUGCGGGUGCUGAAGACGGGAAAUUUCAUGGUCCUCCUAUUGGUUCGAUAACCUUGGUUCUCGCUGAGGGAAAAGCCUACGUCUUGAUUUGUGUGUAUUGAUGAUGAUGAUCUCAAUUACAAGGGUGCGGAAUCGCUACCUCUAGUCUCGAGGGUUUCUAAUAUGUCUAUCUCUAAUGGUUUGUCUUGUCCAGACUUAAAUUGUUCCCCUUGGGGUGCCUUGCCACUCCCUGUAUAAGUUGAAGGGGUAGGCUUACAUAGAGUCCUACUAGGACUAGGAUUAGUCUCUCUUGAAUCCUAAUCCGGGUCUUGCUUCUCUUGUGAGGGAAUGUUUCCUCUUCCUAGGCCUUCUCUAUGAGCCAACCCUCCAGGCCUCUCCAAGAGUUGCCUUUCACCGGCUUGCACACUGGGCCUUAGUCCUUGUCGUCUAGGUCGACCCAGCGAGCAAGGUGACGUAUGAGCCACCAACCUCCUGGCUGGUUCAAAUCGUGGGGUAUAUCCUCAAGAGAGGGUCUCUACAUCAUCCCCGCUUCUCCAAUGGUGAUGUGUGAGUAAUUGACCACAAACCUGUUGGAAACAUGCCCUAGAGACAAUAAUAAAUUGCUUAUUAUUAUAUUUCCUUGUUCAUAAUAAUCGUUUAUUAUCCAUGCUAGAAUUAUAUUGAUUGGAAACUCAAAUACAUGUGUUCAUGCAUAGACAACAUACUGUCCCUAGUGAGCCUCUAGUCGACUAGCUCAUUGAUCAAAGAUGGUCAAGGUUUCAUGGCCAUAAACAAGUGUUGUCACUUGAUAACGAGAUCAAAUCAUUAGGAUAAUGAUGUGAUGGACAAGACCCACACUAUGAACGUACCAUAUGAUCGUGUCAGUUUAUUGCUAAUGUUUUCUGCAUGUCAAUGUAUCUGUUCCUAUGACCAUGAGAUCAUGCAACUCCCGGACACCGGAGGAAUACCUUGUGUGUAUCAAACGUCGCAACGUAACUGGGUGACUAUAAAGGUGAUCUACAGGUAUCUCCGAAGGUGUCUGUUGGGUUAGCGUGGAUCAAGACUGGGAUUUGACACUUCGUGUGACGGAGAGGUAUCUUGGGGCCCACUUGGUCAUACAACAUCACAAUGAGCCUCGAACGAAAUGUGACUAAGGAGUUAGUCAUGGGUUCUUGUAUUGCAUAACAAGUAAAGAGACUUGCGAGUAACGAGAUUGGACUAGUUAUAGAGACACCGACAAUCGAAUCUCGGGCAAGUAACAUAUCGAUGGACAAAGGGAACAACGUACGUGAUUAACUGAAUCCUUGACAUAGAGGUUCAACCGAUAAAGAUCUUCAUAGAAUAUGUAGGAGCCAAUAUGAGAAUCCACGUCCAGCUAUUGGUUAUGGACCGAAGAAUGUCUCAGGUCAUUUCUACAUAGGUCUCGAAACCGCAGGGCGUGCACCCUUAAGGUUAGGUGACAUUUCAGUAUUAUUGAAUUAUGUGUGUUGGUAACCGAAAGUUGUUCGGAGUCACAGAUGAGAUCCUGGACGUCAUGAGGAGCUCCGGAAUGGUCCGAAGGUAAAUAUUUAUAUAUAGGAAAGUUGCAUUUGGCUUCCGAAAAGUUUUCGGGCAUUACCGGUAAAGUACCGGGAGUGACAAAUGGGUUCCGGGGUUUUUACCGGGAGGGGCCACCCACCCAGGAAAGAACUUAAUAGGCCUAAAGGUGGUGCACCCGCCCUUAGUGGGCUGGUGCGUCCAGCCUAAGAGGGCCUAUUUUGGCCAAGGAACAAAAGAAGGGGAAAACCCCAAAGGAGAGGAGGUUUCUGUGACAGCCCGAUGCCGACGUUCCAGAAGAUUCCCCUUUUCUUUCCGUUUUCGUCGUGUGUCUAUUUUCUUUUGUCGCAUCAUUAUCGCAUCAUGCACAUCAUCUGCAUUGCAUCGGCACCCCGUUGCCGCCAGUUUUCAAAACAUGUGUCCGUUGUUAGUUGCCGGUUCUCGUCGUUGUCCGUUCUGAGCCCGACCGCACACGCACGCGCCCGCGGCACCGUCGAAACCCUGUUUUUAAAGUGUGCAUAAAACUUUCUCUGAUCGGGGUGAGAUUUGACGUGAGGUAUUAUUUUAAUAUAGGUAGGCCACCUGUCAAAUUUCGUCGCGAUCGGGGUUAGUGUGGUACCCGAACGGUCGACCGUAGCGGCACCGUAUUCAGUCUAUCGUCGCACGUGUCCCGGUGUUUUAAAUCGCGUUGCCGCGCCGCCCGUUUUCCAUGUCGUCUCUGGAUAACUACUCUACACAAGCCACCGAACCUAACCCGAAGAUCAGAGCCGUCCGAUUGUGAUUGAACGGCUCGGAGCAGGCUAAAAAUAGCUAACCUACCCUAUUGCCUAUAAAUACCCCACUCCUAGCCUAUUUUGGACAAACCCUAAAAUCUAGGGAUCUGUCCCGUUGAGGCCGCCGCCACUUCAAGGAAUCCCUCGGGAUCCAUCUCAGGCAAACCUCCACCUCUCCCUUGAUCUGAUCCAGCCAACCCCCAAAGCCAGCCCGUUGACCAUCUAUGCCUAUCGGAUCUAGAGAUCCAAUGGAUACCAGCAGCUGCGGGACGGAACGCCUCGUCCCCGCAUCCCGUGCCUCGAUCCAGAGAGGAUCUAGAGCAACGCCAGGACGCCGCCGCGCGUAGUGCACCAACGUCAACCAGUUUCGGAGCCGGCCGCCGGACGCAAGCCAGAGAUCGCCUCCCUUGCCCUCUCUCCCUGUUCCCCCAUAUUUUUUUCUCAUCUCUCCGUGUGCUCGUUUCUUCUACAAGGAGCAGAACGGGAGACCGCCGACCGUGCCCCUGUCUGUCUUUUGCGAGAGAAGCACCGAGCCAGCACCGGCCCCUGCAUCUCUCUCUUCUCUGCAUCUUCAGGUGCAGCCAACGGAGGCCAUGGAGCUCGAGCCGCCCUUGCCCGGAUCCGCGUCAUCCCCAAGCCCCGCGACUCCUCCACCUGCACGAGAUCAUGUCGAUGAUGUCUUCGUUCCAUUCCCGGCCUCCCAGCUCGCCGUCUUCGCCGGAGCAUCGCGCCGCCGGCCCCUAGUUCCCCGUGGAGAGCAGCCAAAGUCACCCCUAUACGUGCUAGUUUCAGCAAGGUACACAGACAUACCCUGUUUCAGAUGCAGUUUUGUUCAGGUUUACAUUCAGCAUGGUUGUGUGCUCAUCUACAGAAGGAACCCACUUUUAACACGAACCCAUUUGUAGCUCAGUUGGUCACAAUGUUGCACCUACACCCAGUAGACUAGGGAUCGAAUCCCAGUGGCUCCAAUAUAGUUUUUUAGCGUUUUGCGUUGUCAUUCACCAGCUAUGCAUAUUAGGUAUAACCAGGCGAAUGCAUUAUGUAGCACAAGGACAUAUCUAGCCCACUGGUGACACAUGCUAGGACACCGAAGGAGGUCUUGGGUUCGAAACCUGGACUGCCCCUAUUAUUUUUGCUUUUGUGCCAUGUUUGAUUUUCGUUUUGCACACCCAAGCAAGUGGGCACAGAGCUCCCAGUGGCUGCAGCCCAGUGCACAGAUUCGGCCCAUACGUUUUUUUAUUUUAUUUUAACCUGCAAUUUUAUUUAUUUUUAGAAAAACGCAUUGAUUUUCAAAAGAGCGUAGUUUCUAAACCGUGCGACGGAUCAGAAUGGGUUAUAUAUGUAGAACGUGUAGAAUUUUAUGUAGAUUAAUAUUUUUCAACUUUCAUGCAUAAUUAGAACUGUUUAGUGUGAUGUUUACCUCGUUUUGCAUGUCGACAUGUUGAAACGGUUUAGGUCGUAACUAUUUGUCCGUAGCUCCGUUCGAGAUGUGCCAUAUAUGUAAAUGGAGCAGAACGACGAGUAGAAUCACGUGAAUCACUUUGUUUUGCCGUUUAACAAACCUAAAAUGUUAUUAUGACAAGUCUGGACAGAAUUAAGAUUUAACAUGUGGGGUCAUUUCAGAGAUGCUAUAUGUCGUUUCCGGUCUCAUUUAAAAUGUCUAGCUAGGUAGAUUAAUUUGUGCUUCACCCUCGUGCCAUGUUUAAUAACAUUUAAUAUAGUCAUGUACCUGAACGGGAGCGAACUAAAUAAUUAGAGUGGAGUUUCGUCGAUAUGCAACUCGUUGCAUACCGAGCUUCACUUAAUGUGUAGUGUUUGGUUGUUGUGUUUGUCAUGCCUUGCAUUAGACCGUUCAUGCUUCAUAUGGGUUGUGCAUUGUGUGGUGUAUAUCGUGUGUUGAUGCUUGUUUCCGUUUCCCUCCGUCUCGUUAGAGUUCCGCAAGCGUGUCGGAUGUGAGGACCGUUCGACUGCAUCGGUUCGUCUGCUUCACGGAGUCAUUCUUCUUCCAAGCGGGAUCUCAGGCAAGAUGACCAUUUCCCCAGAUACCAUUACUAUCAUUGCCAUGCUAGUUAUACCGCUUCUUCGAUUAUGUCUCAUUGCCUACCACAUGUUAAAUAUCAGCCUCUCAACAAUGCCAUGAAACCUUCAACCUGUUCGACCUAGCAAACCACUGAUUGGAUAUGUUACCGCUUGCUUAACCCUGGGUUAGCGUUGCUAGUUGCAGGUGCAGUUGCUUCCAUGUGAUAACAUGGGUCCCUUGUUAUAUCACCCUAUUAAAUGCUAUCUAUUUUAAUGCACCUAUAUACUUGGUAAAAGGUGGAAGGCUCGGCCUUNNNNNNNNNNNNNNNNNNNNNNNNNNNNNNNNNNNNNNNNNNNNNNNNNNNNNNNNNNNNNNNNNNNNNNNNNNNNNNNNNNNNNNNNNNNNNNNNNNNNNNNNNNNNNNNNNNNNNNNNNNNNNNNNNNNNNNNNNNNNNNNNNNNNNNNNNNNNNNNNNNNCAUAAUUGAGCGCUCCUAACACGAUCCGGGUUGUUAUGGGGACCCCCUUGAUAAUUCGUUUUAGAUUAAAGCUGGUCUGGCAAGGCCCAACUUUGGUUUUACAUUUGCCCAACAUAAUAAUUCUGAUAAUACUGAAAUGCAUAGGGAGUUAGCGCUACCCGAGGAGUAAUUUUACAUAAACAGGAGGGGCCAGUGUUGAUGGUGUUGGUCCCAAACGGUCUGCCUGCGGGGCCACCGCGAGGAAACUAGAGGUUUGGCACUCGUAGCUAGUUCCAUCUGUCGUGUCCUGAGAACGAGAUACGCGGCUCCUAUCGGGUACGUCGACACGUCGGGCGGCCUUGCUGGAUUAGUUUUACCUUUGACAAGAUAUAUUCUGCCUCCUCCACUCCCUCCCUCCUAUACAUACUAGAGGGCAAAUAGGCUUUUUGCACCUCAAGCCAAAGCGCAACCCUCUCUCCCUCUAGAUCAUUUGCUCCUCUUGAUUAGUUCCGCAGAAGCUUGGCGAAGCCCUACUGGAUUAGUUCACCACCACCACCACCACCACGCCGCCAAGCUGGAGAACUCAUCUACCUCUCCGCCCCUCUUUUUGGAUCAAGAAGGCGGUGAUCGUCAUCAAGCCGCAUGUGUGCUGGACGUGGAGGUGUCGUAUAUUCGGCACUAGACCGGGACGGUUUGUGAUGAGAUCGCGGGAAGGACUGUGAUUUGGAUCACGAAGAUGUUCGACUAUAUCAACCGCGUUAUAUACGCUUCCGCUUAGUGAUCUACAAGGGUAUGUGGAUCCAAUCUCUCCUCUCGUAGAUGGUCAUCGCCAUGGAUAGAUCUUAUGUGCGCGUAUGAAUUUUUUUGUUUCCCAUGCGACGUUCCCCAAGAGUGUCAUCUUGAGCUAGGUAUAUGCGUAGAUAAUAUCUCGAGUAGAACACCAAAGAGUUUGUGGGCAUUGUUGUUCAAUUUGCUGCCCUCCUUAGUAUUUUCUUGAUGCAACGGUAUUGUUGGAUUGAAGCGGCCCGGACCAACCUUACUUGUACGCUUACGAGAGACCAGUUUCAUCGACUAACAUGCAACUUGUUGCAUAAAGAUGACUAGCGAGUGUUUGUUUCUUCAACUUUAGUUGAAUCGGAUUUAACCAAAGCGGUCCUUGGAGAAGGUUAAAUAGAAACUUGCAUAUCACCAUUGUGGUUUUGCGUAAGUAAGAUGCGAUCAUACUAGAUGCCCAUAACAGCCAUGUAAAACUUGCAAUAACAAAUUAGAGGACGUCUAACUUGUUUUUUGCAGGGUAUGUUGUGAUGUGAUGUGGCCAUAGACAUGAUAUGAUAUAUUGGAUGUAUGAGAUGAUCAUGUUGUAAUAGUUAAAUAUCGACUUGCACGUCGAUACUACGACAACCGGCAGGAGCCAUAGGGUUGUCUUUAAUUAUUUUGCGCUUGGUGAUGCUUUGCUUUAUCGCUAGUGGUAGCUUUAGUAGUAACAUCAUAGUUAGUGCGACAACGUCGAUGGCAACACAAUGAUGGAGAUCAUGGUGUGGCGCCUGUGAUGAUGGAGAUCAUGUUGGUGCUUUGGUGAUGGAGAUCAAGAAGCACAAGUUCGUGGCCAUAUCAUGACACUUAUGAUUUGCAUGUGAUGUUAAUCCUUUUAUGCACCUUGUUUUGCUUAGCACGAUGGUAGCAUUAUAAGGUGAUCCCUCACUAAAAUUUCAAGAUAAAAUUGUGUUAUCCCUCACUGUGCACCGUUGCAACAGUUCGUAGUUUCGAGACAUCACGUGAUGAUCGGGUGUGAUAGACUCUACGUUCACAUACAACGGGUGAAAAACAGUUGCACACGUGGAACACUCAGGGUAAACUUGAAGAGCCUAGCAUGUACAUACAUGGCCUAGGAAUACAAGAGAUCGAAAGGUCGAACAUGAGUCAUAUAGUGGAUAUGAUCAACGUGGAGAUGUUCACUAUUGAAGCUAAACUCAACUCACGUGAUGAUCGGACUUGAGUUAGUGAAUUUGGAUCAUGUACCACUCGAAUAACCAUAGGGAUGUCAAUUUGGGUGGGAGUUCUUAAGUAAUAUGAUUAUUUGAACUCAUUAUCAUGAACAUAGUCAAAAGGUCUUUGCAGAUUAUGUUGUAGCUUGCAUUGUAGCUCUACUAUUUUUGAUAUGUCCUAUAGAAUAUUUAGUUGAAAGAUGACAGUAGAAAUUAUGCGGACUAGGUUCGUAAACUAAGGAUUGUCCUCAUUGCUGCACAUAAGGCUUAUGUCCUUAAUGCACCGCUCGAUGUGGUGUACCCCGAGCAUCGUCUGUGGAUGUUGCGAACAUCUGACAUACACGUGUUUGAUGACUACGUGAUAGUUCAGUGAGUAAUGCUUAACGGCUUAGAAAUGAGGCGCCGAAGACAUUUUGAACGUCACAGAACAUAUGAGAUGUUCCAAGAGAUGAAAUUGGGAUUUCAGGCUCGUGCCCGUGUUGAGAGGUAUAAGGCCUCCGACAAGAUUCUUUGUCUACAAAGUAAGGGAGAAAAGCUCAAUCGUUGAGCAUGUGCUCAGAUUGUCUCGGUAUUACAAUCGCUUGAAUCAAGUGGGAGUUGAUCUUCCAGAUAAGAUAGUGAUUGGCAUAGUUCUCCAAAGUCACUGCCACCAAGCUACAGAGCUUUGUGAUGAACUAUAAAAUAUGAUGGAUAGAUAUGAUGAUCCUUGAGUUAUUCGCGAUGUUUGACACCGCGAAAGUAGAAAUCAAGUGGGAGCAUCAAUUUUUGAUGGCUAGUAAAACCACUAGUUUCCAGAAGGGCAAGGGCAAGAAGGGAUACUUCAUGACUGGCAAACCUGUUGCCACUCUAGUGAAGAAACCCAAGGUUGAACUCGAACCCGAGACUAAGUGUUUAUGAUAUGAAGGGAACAAUUACUAAAGCAGCACCACCCUUGAUACUUGGUAGAUGAGAAGGCUGGCAAAGUCGCCGAAAGUAUAUUGGAUAUACAUGAUAUUGAUGUGUACCUUACUAGUACUCCUAGUAGCAUCGGGGUAUAAGAUACCGGUUCAGUUGCUAAGUGUUAGUAACUCAAAAUAAAAUCUAUGGAAUAAAUGGAGACUAGCUAAAGGUGAGGUGAUGAUGUGUGUUGGAAGUGUUUUCAAAGUUGAUGUGAUCACCAUCGCACGCUCCCUCUACUUUCGAGAUUAGUGUUGAACCUAAAUGUUGUUUGUUGUUUGCGUUGAGCAUGAGCAUGAUUGGAUUGUAUUUAUUGCAAUACAAUUAUUCAUUUAAAGAGAAUAAUAGUUAUUUUGUUUACUUGAAUAAUACCUUCAACAGUCAUGCACCUAAUAUGAAUGGUUUAUUGAAUCUUGAUCGUAGUAUUACACAUGUUCAUAAUAUUUGAUGCCAACAUAUACAAAGUAGUAAUGAUCAUAUCACUUACUUGUGGCAUUGCUGCUUGAGUCAUAUUGGUAUAAAAUGCAUGAAGAAGCUCCAUACCGAUGGAUCUAUGGACUCGCUCAUUUUUGAAAUGUUACAGACAUGCGAACCAUGUCUAUUGGUCUAAACGCAUAAAAGAAACUCCAUGCAGAUGGAUCAUUUGGACUCACUUAAUUUUGAAUCACUUGAGACAUGCAAAUCAUUCCACAUGGGCAAGAUGACUGAAGGCCUCGUUUUCCAGUGAGAUGGAACAAGAAAGUAAAUUAUUGGAAGUAAUACAUUUUGAUGUAUGCAGUCCAAUGAGUGUUGAGGCACGCAGUGGAUAUCAUUAUAUUCUUACUUCACUCAUGAUUUGAGUAGAUGCAAGAGUAUUUGCUUGAUGAAUCACAAGUCUGAAAUAUUGAAAAGUUCAAGCUAUUUUAGAGUGAAGAUCGUCGUGACAAGAGGAUAAUAUGUUUACGAUGUGAUCGUGGAGGUAAAAUCUGAGUUGCGAGUUUGGUAGACAUUGAAAACAACGUGAAAAUUGUUUCACAAUUCAUGCCACGUGGAACACCAUAGUGUGAUGGUGUGUGUGAACACCAUAGUUGCGCCCUAUUGGAUGUGGUGCAUACUAUGAUGUCUCUUAUCGUAUUACCACUAUUGUUUUUGGGCUAGGCAUUAGAGACGACCGCAUUCACUUUAAAUAGGGUACCACAUAAGUCCGUUGAGAUGACACCGUAUGAACUAUGGUUCGGAGAAACCUAAGCUGACGUUUCUUAAAAGUUUGGGGCUAUGACGCUUAUGUGAAAAAGUUUCAGCGUGAUAAGCUCGAACCCAAAGCGGAUAAAUGCAUCUUCAUAGGACACACAAAACAGUUGGGUAUACCUCCUAUCUCAGAUCCAGAAGAAAAGUGUUUGUUUCUAGAAACGGGUCCUUUCUCGAAAAAAGUUUCUCUCGAAAGAAUUGAGUGGGAGGAUGGUGGAACUUGAUGAGGUUUUGAACCAUCACUUCAACCAUAGAGUAGAAGGCCGCAGGAAACUAUUCUUAUGGCGCCUACACUAGUUGAAGUGGAAGCUAGUGAUGGUGAUCAUUAAGCUUCAGAUCAAGUUACUUCGAAACCUCGUAGGUCGAAAGGGACACACACUACUCCAGAGUGGUACGGUAACUCUGUCUUAAAGGUCAUGUUGUUAGACAACAAUGAACCUACGAGCUAUGGAGAAGCGAUGGUGGGCCUGGAUUCCGACAAAUGGUCGAAGGUCAUGAAAUCCGAGAGAGGAUCCAUGUGUGAAAACAAAGUGUAGACUUUGGAAGAACUACUUGAUGGUCGUAAGGCUGUUGGGUACAUAUGGACUUUUAAAAGGAAGACGGACAAAUGGUUGGAGGCCAUGAAAUCUGAGAGAGGAUCCAUGUAUGAAAACAAAGUGUGGACUUUGGAAGAACUACUUGAUGGUCGUAAGACUGUUAAGUACAGAUGGAUCUUUAAAAGGAAGACAAACGAUGAUGGUGAAAAGUCACCAUUAAGAAAGCUCAACUUGUCGCAAAGAUGUUUCCGACAAGUUCAAAGAGUUGACUAUGAUGAGACUUUCUCACUCGCAGCGAUGCUAAAAGUUUUGUUGGAAUUAUGUUAGAAGUUGCUGCAUUAUUUAUGAAAUCUUGCAAAUAGGAUGUCAAAACAUUGUUUCCUCGAUGGUUUCCUUGAGGAAAGGUUGUAUGUGAUACAACCAGAAGGUUUUGUCGAUCCUAAGGAUGAUAACCAGUAUGCAAGCUCCAGCAAUCCUUCUAAGGACUGGAGUAAGCAUCUCAGAGUUGGAAUAUGCGCUUUGAUGAGAUGAUCAAAGCUUUUGGGUUUAUACAAAGUUUAUGAGAAACUUGUAUUUCCAAUAAAGUGAGUGGGAGCACUAUAGAAUUUCUGAUAAGUAUAUGUGAUCAGAAAUAAUGUACAAUUUCUGGAAAGCAUAAAGGGUUGUUUGAAAGGAGUUUUUCAAAGGAAAACCUCGAUUGAGCUACUUGAACAUUGAGCUUAAUAGAACUUUCAAAUGAAUAUAUACUGUAACAAGAUUUUGAAGGAGUUCAAAAUAGAUCAGUCAAAGAAAGAGUUCUUGGUUGUGUUAUAAGGCGUGAGUAUUGAGUAAGACUCAAAAUCCGACCACGGUGGAAGAAAGAGAAAGGACGAAAGUCGUCCCCUAUGCACUAGCCGUAGGCUCUAUAGUAUGAUAUGUUGUGUACCGCACCUGAUGUGUGCCUUGGAAUGAAUCUGCCAAGGGGCAAAGAAGUGAUCCAGGAAUGGAUUACUGGACAACGGCCAAAAGUUGUCCUUAGUAACUAGUGGACUAAGGAAUUUUUUCUCGGUUAUGGAGGUGAUAAAAGAGUUCGUCGUAAAGGGUUACAUCAAUGAAGCUUUGACACUAAUUCAGAUGACUCUGAGUAGUAAACCGGAUUCGUAUAGUGGAGCAGUCAUUUGGAAUAGUUCCAAAUGGCGCGUGGGAGCAACAUCUACAGGACGACAUAGAGAUUUGUAAAGCACACACGAAUCUAAAAGGUUCAGACCCGUUGACUAAAAACCUCACUCACAAGCAAGAUAUGAUCAAACCCCAUGGGUGUUAGAUUCAUUGCAAUCACAUAGUGAUGUGAACUAGACUAUUGACUCUAGUGCAAGUGGGAGACUGUUGGAAAUAUGCCCUAGAGGCAAUAAUAAAUUGGUUAUUAUUAUAUUUUCUUGUUCAUAAUAAUCGUUUAUUAUAUAUGCUAGAAUUGUAUUGAUUGGAAACCCAAAUACAUGUGUGGAUACAUAGACAACAUACUGUCCCUAGUGAUCCUCUAUUUGACUAGCUCGUUGAUCAAAGAUGGUCCAGGUUUCCUGGCCAUAGACAAGUGUUGUCACUUGAUAAUGAGAUAACAUCAUUAGGAUAAAGAUGUGAUGGACAAGACCCAAACUAUGAACGUAGCAUAUAAUCGUGUCAAUUUAUUGCUAUUGUUUUCUCGAUGUCAAUGUAUUUGUUCCUAUGACCAUGAGAUCAUGUAACUUCCAGACACCGGAGGAGUACCUUGUGUGUAUCAAAUGUCUCAACGUAACUGUGUGACUAUAAAUGUGCUCUACAGGUAUCUCCGAAGGUAUCUAUUGGGUUAGCAUGGAUCAAGACCGGGAUUUGUCACUCCGUGUGACGGAGAGGUAUCUCGGGGCCCACUCGGUAAUACAACAUCACAAUAAGCCUUGCAAGCAAUGUGACUAAGGAGUUAGUCACGGGAUCUUGUAUUAUGGAACGAGUAAAGAGACUUGCGAGUAACGAGAUUGAACUAGGUAUAGAGAUACCGACAAUCGAAUCUCGAGCAAGUAACAUACCGAAGGACAAAGGGAACAACAUACGAAAUUAACUGAAUCCUUGACAUAGAGGUUCAACCGAUAAAGAUCUUUGUAGAAUAUGUAGGAGCCAAUAUGGGCAUCCAGGUCCCGUUGUUGGCUAUUGACCAGAGAAUGUCUCAGUCAUGUUUACAUAGUUCUUGAACCCGUAGGGUCUGCACACUUAAGGUUCAUUGACGUUUCGGUAUUAUUGAGUUGUGUGUGUUGGUAAAAAAAAGUUGUUCGGAGUCCUGGAUGAGAUCCUGGACAUCACGAGGAGCUCCGUAAUGGUCCGGAGGUAAAUAUUGAUAUAUAGGAAAGUUGCAUUUGGCUUCUGGAAAGUUUUCGGGCAUUACCGGUAAAGUACCGGGAGUGACGAAUGGGUCCCGGGGUUUUACCGGGAGGUGCCACCCACCCGAGAGAGAACAUAAUAGGCCUGAAGAUGGUGCACCAUCCCUUAGUGGGCUAGUGUGGCCAGCCCAAGAGGGCCUAUUUCGUCCAAGGAGCAAAAGAAGGGGAAAAUCCCCAAAGGAGAGGAGGUUUCCAAGUAGGAGGAGUCCUACUUGGAGUAGGAUUGGAGGUGGACUCUUCCACCUCCACGUAUUCGGCCGAGCCAAGUAUUUGCUUUUUGGCUGCCUCCUCCCCUCCCUCCCUCCUAUAUAUACUAGAGGGUAGAGAGGCUUUUUGCACCUCAAGCCAAGGCGCAACCCUCUCUCCCUCUAGAUCGUUUACUCCUCUUGGUUAGUUCCGCAAAAGCUUGGCGAAGCCCUACUGGAUUAGUUCACCACCACCACCACCACACCGCCAUGUUGGAGAACUCAUCUACCUCUCCGCUCCUCUUGCUGGAUCGAGAAGGCGGUGAUCGUCAUCAAGUCGUACAUGUGCUGAACAUGGAGCUGUCGUUCGUUCAGCACUCGAUCGGGAUGAUUCGUGAUGAGAUCGCGAGACGGACUGCGAUUUGGAUCGCGAAGAUGUUCAACUACAUCAACCGCGUUAUAUACGCUUCCGCUUAGCGAUCUACAAGGGUAUGUGGUGUUGGAAAUAUGCCCUAGAGGCAAUAAUAAAUUAGUUAUUAUUAUAUUUCUUUGUUCAUGAUAAUCGUUUAUUAUCCAUGCUAUAAUUGUAUUGAUUGGAAACACAAUACUUGAAAGGAUCGAUAUGGUUGGCUAGACGGAGGGGGUGAAUAGACAACGACCACUUUUUAAUUAAUCUUAACAAGUUAAGGUAAACACUAUACGGGUUCACAAAUAAUAUGACAAAGAGGUGAACCCUAUAGAAGCUAACAACUAGAGCUAUUAAGACAAGUAAGAUAUAGUCACAAGCAUAAGCAAAUACAAAGUAAAGGUUAGAGAUAACCACAAGUGGAACCGAUGGAGACGAGGAUGUGUUACCGAAGUUCCUUCCCUUUGACAUGAAGUACUUCUCCGUUGGAGCGGUGUGGAGGCACAAUGCUCCCCAAAAAGCCACUAAGGCCACCGUAUUCUCCUCACGCCCUCGCACGAUGCAAGGUACCGUGAUUCCACUAUAGGUGCCCUUGAAGGCGGCGACCGAACCUUUACAAACAAGGUUGGGGCAACUCCACACAAAGCUUGGAGGCUCCCAACUAAACCACGAAGCUUCACCACAAUGGAAUAUGGCUUCGAGGUGACCUCAACCGUCUAGGAUGCUCAAACACCCAAGAGUAACAAGAUCCGCAAGGGAUUGGUGGGGGAAUCAACUUUUCUCUUGGUGGAAGUGUGGAUCUAGGCCUUCUCAACCAAUCCCUAAAGAAUCAACAAGUUUGAUUGGCUAGGGAGAGAGAUCGGGCACUUUAGAGCUUGUGGAGCAACAAUGGAGCUUAGAGAGGUAAGAGAUAGGGUUCCUCAGCUAGAAGAACCCUUUAUAUAGUGGGGGGGGAAUCAGACCGUUUUCCCACUCUCUGCCCGAGUACCAGCGGUACUACCGCUGUGCCGGAGCGGUACUACCGCUGGGCCUCCAGCGGUACUACCGCUGAGCCUCCAGCGGUACUACCGCCGGCCCCUUGGUAGUGCACAAGGACUACUACCUCCGGGAAAGUCUUCGCAAAAGGGUCCGUCCACAAACUACCGCUAGGUAGGUGGAACAAAACACCUGGAGCGGUACUACCGCUGACCAGGGGCGGUACUACCGCUGGCUGCAGCGGUACUACCGCUGGCAGUCCAGCGGUACUACCGCUGGGGACCAUUUUGCAGAGAUAAACGAGACGAAUAGGCGAGGGCUGCUCCAAAAGAUAAGGAAAGGGAGAAUGUGAAGUGUGCGUGUGUAAAGAUAGAUUCCACCCAAACCUUUCCACUACGGAUCCCCUCUUAAUAGUACGGGUUUCCUAUGACUCAAAUAAAGAGAAUCGUAGAGAGCGCCGUGCUUCCGUUCCUGAAGAGAGGAGACGUGUCGUCUUGUGCCGUUGACGAGUGUUACCUGAAACUUUGACACACACGGUUAGUCCUGUACGGUACUGUCAUCAAUCACCAAAAUUACUUAGGCAUAAACUAUGCCCCAACAAUACUUGUGUGGAUACAUAGACAAAACACUGUCCCUAGUAAGCCUNNNNNNNNNNAAUGUAGAAUUUAUGUAAAGCAUACAAGGUUGUUUGAAAGGAGUUUUCAAAGGAAUACCUGGAUUGAGCUACUUGAACGUUGAGCAUCAAAAGAUCUAUGGAGAUAGAUCGAAAGCGCUUAAUGGAAGUUUCAACAAGAUGCAUGCCUUGACAAGUUUUUGAAGGAGUUCAAAAUAGAUCAGCAAAGAACGAGUUCUUAGUUGUGUUGUAAGGUGUGAAUUUGAGUAAGACUCAAAACCCGACCACGGCAGAAUAAAGAGAAUAGACGAAGGUCGUCUUCUAUGCCUUAGCCGUAGACUCUAAAGUAUGCCAUGCUGAGUACCGCACCUGAUGUGUGCCUUGCAACAAGUCUGUUAAGAGCUACACAGAGUGAUCCAGGAUUGAAUCACUGAUCAGCGGUCAAAGUUAUCCUUAGUAACUAAAUAGACUAAGGAAUUUUUCUCGAUUAUGGAGGUGCUUAAAGAGUUCGUCGUAAAGGGUUACGUCGAUGCAAGCUUUGACACUAAUCCGAAUAACUAUGAGUAGUGAAACGGAUUCGUAUAGUAGAGCAGAUAUUUGGAGUAUUUCCGAAUAGCACAUAGUAGCAGCAUCUAUAAGAUGACAUAAAGAUUUGUAAAGAACACACGGAUCUGAAAGUUUCAGAACCGUUGACUAAAACCUCCCUCAAGAGCAAGACGUGAUCAGACCCCAUAACUAUAUGGGUGUUGGAUUCGUUGGAAUCACAUGGUGAUGUGAACUAGAUUAUUGACUCUAGUGCAAGUGGGAGACUGUUGGAAAUAUGCCCUAGAGGNNNNNNNNNNNNNNNNNNNNNNNNNNNNNNNNNNNNNNNNNNNNNNNNNNNNNNNNNNNNNNNNNUAUUGGAAACACAAUACUUGUGUGGAUACAUAGACAAAACACUGUCCCUAGUAAGCCUCUAGUUGACUAGCUCGUUGAUCAAAGAUGGCCAAGGUUUCCUGGCCAUAGGCAAUUGUUGUUACUUGAUAACGGGAUCACAUCAUUAGGAGAAUCAUGUGAUGGACUAGACCCAAACUAAUAGACGUAGCAUGUUGAUCGUGUCAUUUUGUUGCUACUGUUUUCUGCGUGUCAAGUAUUUGUUCCUAUGACCAUGAGAUCAUAUAACUCACUGACACCGGAGGAAUACUUUGUGUGUAUCAAACGUCGCAACGUAACUGGGUGACUAUAAAGAUGCUCUACACGUAUCUCCGAAGGUGUUAGUUGAGUUAGUAUGGAUCAAGACUGGGAUUUGUCACUCCGUGUGACGGAGAGGUAUCUCGGGGCCCACUCGGUAAUACAACAUCACACACAAGCCUUGCAAGCAAUGUGACUUAGUGUAAGUUACGAGAUCUUGUAUUACGGAAUGAGUAAAGAGACUUGCCGGUAAACGAGAUUGAAAUAGGUAUGCGGAUACUAACGAUCGAAUCUCAGGCAAGUAACAUACCGAAGGACAAAGGGAAUGACNNNNNNNNNNGUUGAAAUAGGUAUACAGAUACUGACGAUCGAAUCUCGGGCAAGUAACAUACCGAAGGACAAAGGNNNNNNNNNNGGAUCUUGUAUUAUGGAACGAGUAAAGCGACUUGCCGGUAAACGAGAUUGAAAUAGGUAUGCGGAUACUGACGAUCGAAUCUCAGGCAAGUAACAUACCGAAGGACAAAGGGAAUGACAUACGGGAUUAUAUGAAUCCUUGGCACUGAGGUUCAAACGAUAAGAUCUUCGUAGAAUAUGUNNNNNNNNNNUGAGUAAAGAGACUUGCCGGUAAAACAAGAUUGAAAUAGGUAUACGGAUACUGACGAUCGAAUCUCGGGCAAGUAACAUACCGAAGGACAAAGGGAAUGACAUACGGGAUUAUACGAAUCCUUGGCACUGAGGUUCAAACGAUAAAGAUCUUCGUAGAAUAUGUAGGAUCCAAUAUGGGCAUCCAGGUCCCGCUAUUGGAUAUUGACCGAGGAGUCUCUCGGGUCAUGUCUACAUAGUUCUCGAACCCGCAGGGUGUGCACACUUAAGGUUCAACGUUGUUUUAUGCGUAUUUGAGUUAUAUGGUUGGUUACCGAAUGUUGUUCGGAGUCCCGUAUGAGACCACGGACGUCACGAGGGUUUCCGGAAUGGUCCGGAAACGAAGNNNNNNNNNNNNNNNNNNNNNNNNCUGUUCGGAGUCCCGGAUGAGAUCACGGACGUCACGAGGGUUUCCGAAUAGUCCGGAAACAAAGAUUGAUAUAUAGGAUGACCUCAUUUGAUUACCGGAAGGUUUUCGGAGUUACCGGGAAUGUACCGGGAAUGACGAAUGGGUUCCGGGAGUUCACCGGAGGGGGGCAACCCACUCCGGGGAAGCCCAUGGGCAUUUGGGGGGGUCACACCAGCCCUUAGUGGGCUGGUGGGACAGCCCACCAAUCCCCUAUGCGCCAAGAGAGAAAAAAUCAAAGGAAAGAAAAAAAGGGAAGAAGUGGGAAGGGGGAAGGACUCCCUCCCACCAAACCAAGUAGGACUCGGUUUGGGGGGGAGAGUCCUCCCCCCUGGCUCGGCCGACCCCUUGGGGAUCCCUUGGACCCCAAGGCAAGGUCCCCCUCCCUCCUCCUAUAUAUAUGNNNNNNNNNNGCAACCCACUCCGGGGAAGCCCAUAGGCUUUUGGGGGACACACCAGCCCUUAGUGGGCUGGUGGGACAGCCCCAAGGGAGCCUAUGCGCCAAGAUAAGAAAAUCAAAGGAAAAGAAAGAAAAAAGAGGGAAGAAGUGGGAAGGGAGGGGGACUCCUCCCACCAAACCAAGUCCAACUCGGUUUGGGGGGGGAGUCCUCCCCCCCCUUGGCUCGGCCGACCCCUUGGAAGUCCCUUGGACCCCAAGGCAAGGUCCCCCUCCCUCCUCCUAUAUAUAUGGGGCUUUUAGGGCAGAUUUGAGACGACUUUCUCACGGCUGCCCGACCACAUACCUCCAUAGUUUUUCCUCUAGAUCGUGUUUCUGCGGAGCUCGGGCGGAGCCCUGGUGAGACAAGAUCAUCACCAACCUCCGGAGUGCCGUCACGCUGCCGGAGAACUCUUCUACCUCUCCGUCUCUCUUGCUGGAUCAAGAAGGCCGAGAUCAUCGUCGAGCUGUACGUNNNNNNNNNNNNNNNNNNNNNNNNNNNNNNNNNNNNNNNNNNNNNNNNNNNNNNNNNNNNNNNNNNNNNNNNNNNNNNNNNNNNNNNNNNNNNNNNNNNNCUUCGUGCGCGUAGGAAUUUUUUUGUUUCCCAUGCGACGUUCCCCAACAGUGGCAUCAUGAGCUAGGUUCAUGCGUAGAUGUCUUCUCGAGUAGAACACAAAAGGUUUUGUGGGCGGUGAUGUGCGUUUUGCUGCCCUCCUUAGUCUUUUCUUGAUUCCGCGGUAUUGUUGGAUUGAAGCGGCUUGGACCGACAUUACUCGUACGCUUACGAGAGACUGGUUUCAUCGUUACGAGUAACCGCCUUUGCUCAAAGAUGACUGGCAAGUGUCGGUUUCUCCAACUUUAGUUGAAUCGGAUUUGACCGAGGAGGUCCUUGGAUGAGGUUAAAUAGCAACUCAUAUAUCUCCGUUGUGGUGUUUGCGUAAGUAAGAUUCGGUCCUACUAGAUACCCUUGGUCACCACGUAAAACUUGCAACAACAAAAUUAGAGGACGUCUAACUUGUUUUUGCAGGGUAUGANNNNNNNNNNNNNNNNNNNNNNNNNNNNNNNNNNNNNNNNNNNNNNNNNNNNNNNNNNNNNNNNCUUGUGAUGUGAUAUGGACAGCGAUGUGAUGUGAUAUAUUGGAUGUAUGAGAUGAUCAUGUUGUAAUAGAUAAUAUCGACUUGCACGUCGAUGGUACGCAACCGGCAGGAGCCAUAGGGUUGUCUUUAUACUAACGUUUGUGCUUGNNNNNNNNNNCGUCGAUGGUACGGCAACCGGCAGGAGCCAUAGGGUUGUCUUUAUACUAACAUAUUCGUGCUUGCAGAUGCGUUUACUAUUUUGCUAGGAUGUAGCUUUAGUAGUNNNNNNNNNNUGUCGAUGGUACGACAACCGGCAGGAGCCAUAGGGUUGUCUUUAUACUAACGUUUGUGCUUGCAGAUGCGUUUACUAUUUUGCUAGGAUGUAGCUUGAGUAGUAAUAGCAUAAGUAGCACGACAACCCCGAUGGCAACACGUUGAUGGAUGAUCAUGGUGUGGCGCCGGUGACAAGAAGAUCGUGCCGGUGCUUUGGUGAUGGAGAUCAAGAAGCACGUGAUGAUGGCCAUAUCAUGUCACUUAUGAAUUGCAUGUCAUGUUAAUCCUUUUUAUGCACCUUAUUUUGCUUAGAACGACGGUAGCAUUAUGAGGUGAUCUCUCACUAAAAUUUCAAGACGAAAUUGUGUUCUCCCCGACUGUGCACCGUUGCUACAGUUCGUCGUUUCGAGACACCACGUGAUGAUCGGGUGUGAUAGACUCAACGUUCACAUACAACGGGUGCAAAACAGUUGCGCACGCGGAACACUCGGGUUAAGCUUGACGAGCCUAGCAUGUGCAGACAUGGCCUCGGAACACAUGAGACCGAAAGGUCGAGCAUGAAUCGUAUAGUUGAUAUGAUUAGCAUAGAGAUGCUUACCACUGAAACUAUUCUCGACUCACGUGAUGANNNNNNNNNNNNNNNNNNNNNNNNNNNNNNNNNNNNNNNNNNNNNNNNNNNNNNNNNNNNNNNNNNNNNNNNNNNNNNNNNNNNNNNNNNNNNNNNNNNNGGAGAGGAUCCAGCGCUACUCACAAGUUAGCAGUAGCUCCGGUGCGGAUCCAGCGCUACUGCUAGAUUUAGUUAACCGGCUAACUCGAUCACCUCUCCCCCACUCCUUCCCUCUCCGUUCGACCGGCCCUCUCUCCCUCUCGCCUGUGAUCCAGCGCGCUGCUUCUUCCCUCUCCGCCACUGACUCCCUCCAAGUGUCGUCGUGCCACCUCCACACGUCGCCGCCCCUCCAAGCGCCGCCGGGCCACCUUCAUGCGCCGUUGUUCGACCACCUCCCCUCCCGCUCCGGUAAGCCCCCCGCCCCCUCCUCCCUACCGCCUCGCUCGCCCACCCUAGCACCACACCGCACGCCUCCCCCUGUCGUGGACGCCCCCGUUGACCGUGGACGCAACAUUUUCACCUAAAGUUUGUUCAAAGGUUAUUCAAUCCAUCUAAAGUAAUAUAUGUGGAUAGGAGAUAGUAGUAGUGUUUAUCAGUAAUUUUGGUAUGAGGAUCUACCAAUGCAUCUAGGGGUUAAGAGACUUAGUGAAGAUGGGGUGGUUGCUGACCUAGGGCAUGUAAGAAUGUUUGGGGGGAAUUUUUGCAAUAUGGUUAGGCAUGAGAGGUUGUUCAUAAUAUUCUCUGUUUUACCCCAUCUUUUGUACUUGUUCAUUGUUGCUAUAUCCUAGUGGCCUAUGUUUUGUCGGAAUGUUGAUUCAUUUCCGUUCCGGAAAAUUUCAAACGCUCCAUAUAUCCACUUUUUAGUAAAUGUCAUGCCCAAAUUUUUUCUGUUUUAGGAAAUGUCUGACGACGAAGGGGAAUUCGUUAUGUGCGAAUACUGCCAAGACAAGCGCGGCCUUUGCGACACGCCUUGCCUAGUUGAUGAUAGGCGCUUCAGCAUCAUGCUGGAUGAGGACUUUGAAGUGGAUACAGUAAGUCACAACGACAAGUCCACUUGAUAGGCUUGAAAAGCAUCUUUGUAUGCGAUGGUGCUCUUCCAGAUCUCUGUAUGGCAGUUGGUCUCUUUUUUUUCCGACAUUGCUAUGGUGGUGUCGGAGGAUAUUUGUGGACUAUGUUUCGAUGAGGCACAAGUUUCUUCAAGGAUGAAAUAGUAAUUUUACUUCAUGUGGAACUCUUUGUGCAAAGUUGUUGACAAGCAUGUUUAUCUCUUAUGAUGACCAUAUGUGUAAUUUUUGUGAACAAAUUAUCUAAUGAAAUACUCCCUCCAUCCGGAAAUACUUGUUUUAAAAAUGAAUAUAAUGAAUGUAUCUAUAACUAAAAUAAGUCUAGAUACAUUUAUCUUUAGGAUAAUUAUUUCCGGACGAAGGUAGUACGAUGUUGCUUAAAAAAGACGCCCAUCGAAUUCAGAAAGAGACAAUACCAAAAGGCUAAAACUGGAAAGACGAUACCUCCUAAAAGUGCCAAAACUAGAAGGAUCAGCAAUCCCCACUCAUGUGCAAUAAACAGUCUAGAACUUCGACUCUUCUUAACGACAUAAACAAUAAUUGAGCCUGAAAGAUUGGCAUCGCCGCCCGACAAAUGAAACAAUGAACUCUCACUCACCAUGUACUCUUGCUUCAGUUGAGCGCCGUGGGAAAGCUCAAUCAGCAAAGCUAAUCAAAGCGUUUUUAGAACGUACCACCACACCUUUUGAUGGCAGCUAGGGCAUGUUGAAGCAUUUAUAUUGAUUUUUUUUCUUCAAUGCAACCUAUUACUAGUGGGCAUCAUCAAGGGGAAAAAAACUCUGAUCUACAUGCAUCUCUAUUUUUUACUUUAACUUUUCAGCUUUUUACAUCGAAUUACAUCUUUUCUUCCUAAGCACCGCCUCUUGCUGGAUCCCGCUACACCAUCCGAGACCAUACACGAUCCUACAUGGCAUGUGGGACAUCAUUUUGAGGCUAUGCAUUGGGCAUGCACUUAUGCCCUUGAUUGCAUCACACCAUACGGAGCACACAUGAAGGAUGGGAAGACUUUCGCCGACAAGCAAAGUGGACUCGGGUAACACGGUGUAUACACCGACACUGGGGGCUAAUUUUUGUGUUAUGACCCUUUUAUGAAAAAUGAUCGAGAUCUAACCUAGUUUGUAAAAAAAAUAGGUUCUGAUCAUUUUCCUAUCAUCGGGAUCCAUGACGAUAAGGUACAACGGCCUACCGCCGGGGUCCAUGACGAUAGAGUAUAGCAACCUACUGUCAAGGUUCCUCGCAGUAGGGAUGUACGCCCUACCGUAAAAAUUUCCUAAGCAUCGGAUACAAUGCGUGUUCGCACCUACAGUCGAGCACCUCGAUGAUAGGGUUGUAUAGACUACCGUCAACUUAUUUGACGAUAGAGGUGCGUCGCGCUCACUUUAAUAAGUUUUCUACGGACACCGAUGGUAGGAAAAAAAGUCAGAUCUCAAAAUUUUUACAAACCAGAGUCAGAUCUCGCUCAACUUCUGUAAAAGGGUCAAAAGGCAUGGAUUGUUUUCUCGGACAUCUGAUACGCGUGUGCUUUAAAGCAUCUAUAGUCGGACCCCUCCUAUCCAUCUCAAACGUCCGGGUAGGCUAUCCGGUUACUAGUCGUUCACAAAAAAUCAAUCUCUAAUAUGAAGACGGUAUGAGGGCUCGCAAACGCGCCCGGGCACGCCCGAUCAGUCCGCCACCUCGGACGUGACCCCAUUCCGGACCACCUUUUCUCUUUGUUUAUUUAUUAUUUCAUUAUUUAUUUCUCUCCCUUCUUCAUCAAUCACGUGCAACUGAUCGGACAGAUGAGGAAAAAUAUGAUUAUACGGAUGAAAAAAUAGAGGCUCAAAAUGAACACGCUCGGUCACUGACCGGACGCGUCCACGAAUGCUUGAGGAACCGGAUUUAGAGCAAGUAUAAUAAGAUACAGACAACAGGCUGUAAGGAUUAAAAUACUAUAUUUUUGCUGAGUUGGAUGAGAGAGAAGAGGAGAGAGAAGGGAAGCGGGCUCUUCGUGAAGAGUCAGCUCUAGCACGUGCUCCUAGGUGCUUUGUGAGAAUGAAAGGUGAGCCAUAUAUGAUAAAAGUAGUACUCCCUCCAUCACAGUUUAUAAGGCGUGCACGCGUACUUAGGUCGUCAAUUUGACUUAUAUAAAAUAUAUUGUUUAACAUAAAAAAUAUAUUAUUAGAAAAUAGAACAUCUAAAGUUUCUAAUGAUAUAUUUUUUGUAAUAUAUGUCUCUUAUUAAAUUGAUCAAAUAAACGACCUAGAUACACGUGCCGGACUUAGAGCAUCUCUAGUGGAUGGUGUAUAUUUGAACGUGUAUAUCUUCAUAUACACGUCCAUAUACACGGCGUGGAAAUUAUACACGUCCUAGUUUUUCAGUGAAACGUGUAAAUUAGGACGUGUAUAUUCCCCUCAUUCUUUCCCCCUCUGCAAGAUAAGAGAUUCAGUAGUGCACACAGGUUCAGAGAACAAGACAGGGGAGCUUCGCCGCAUUGCAGCCGUCUCCCUCGUCGCCGGCAGCCUUCCCCGUGGCAUCCAAGAUGUCCAUGGACUCGAGGGUGCCUCCCUCGUUCCAUUCCCAUCGCUAGGGUGACCGGUGGGCCACCACAGCGACGGCACCAACCUCGUCUCCGACGAGUACCCGGAGCCAAAGCCCUGCAGCAGGAGGAGGAGCCCCCGUGCUCCAGCCAGCCAUUUCGGCGCCCGACGCAGCCCCUGUCCCGGCCUUGCCUGAGGAGGAGCAGCAACUGCGGGGCGGACGGGAACCCUAGAGGCCUCGCACCUCCGAGAUCCGUCCGAACUGGGGGUGAGGACGGCGCGGCCGGGCCGCAAGCGGCGUGGGCGGGACGGGCAGGCGUCCGGGCACAGGGAGCCCUGGCCUUGCUUCUCAGGGAGGAGGAGGCGGCGGUGGGCCGGCGGGCGGCGGUGGGCCGGCGGGCGGCGGCCGGAGGAAGGGGGAGGGGAGACCGGAGGCGGCUGCGCGGCCUUGCUCCUCAGGGAGGAGGAGCCCCCUACUCCAGCGCCACCGCCAGCCCGCACCCCGCAGCGNNNNNNNNNNNNNNNNNNNNNNNNNNNNNNNNNNNNNNNNNNNNNNNNNNNNNNNNNNNNNNNNNNNNNNNNNNNNNNNNNNNNNNNNNNNNNNNNNNNNNNNNNNNNNNNNNNNNNNNNNNNNNNNNNNNCACGACGAGUAGCCUCGUGGAUGGACGUGUAUAACUUCCACGCCCGUAUACACGUUCCACUGGGAGGCAUUUUUCUGUUAGCAACGUGUAUAUUUACCAUCCACCUCCAUAUACACCAUCCACUAGAGAUGCUCUUAUAAACUGAAACGGAGGAAGUACUUUUUUAUAGCUAACUAUUGUACAAGCUAGCUAUAAGAUUGACUAUAAGAUGGCUUAUAGCCAGCAGUUGACUAUACUGUUAACCAUGCUCUUACAAGUUCCAUCCGUAGAUGCUCUAGGCAUGGCACGACGACGUAUGUCGUUGGGACAGUCUUAGAGCAUCUCUAGUGGAACGUGUAUACACCUUGCUAAAUUUUACACCUCCCAGUUUUUCAGUGGAACGUGUAUACAGGACGUGGAAAUCAGGACGUGUAUAUUCCAACGGCUAUAUUUUCAAACGGCUAUAUUUUCAACGGCUAUAUUUUCAACGGCCAUAUUUCUGGUCUAUAUAAACCGCCCCAAUCACCUCUCUUCCAGCAUUUCUAGUUGUGCCUCAUCUUCUCACUUCUAGAUUUCUCUAUCGUCUCUCACACAACACAAUGAACACAUUCUCUUGGGACAUGAGUUCUUCAUCAUCUUCAUCGGGCGACGAUGAACUCAUACUUGCGGCAUUAGCCGAUCGCGAGGAGGAAGAGAGGAUGAACACUCGACGCCAUGGCGGUUCCAUGCAUGGACGUCAGUCAAUCGAUCGAGGAAGAGAUGCCGGAUUUCUUCUUCUCUGGAACGACUAUUUCAAAGAAGUUCCUCGCUUUUCCGAACAUUUGUUUCGACGAAGGUUCGUAAUUAGUACACUUCUCUGCUUUGGUUCUUUUUUCAUUUCCCCGUCUCAUUGACUUUUUAUGCAUAGAUUUAGGAUGUCGCGUACUUUGUUCAACCGCAUAGCUGAUGGUAUACUUGAACAUGACUAUGAUGGUUAUUUUACGCAAAAAAGAAGUGCUUCUGGAGCUCUUGGGUUACAUCCUCUACAAAAGAUGACCGCGGCAAUGCGGAUCCUCACAUAUGGAAUAGCAACUGAUGGUGUUAAUGAGUACAUCGGGUCCGCUGAGGCUACUAAUUUAGAGUCUUGCAAGAAAUUUGUGAUCAAAGUUUGUGAAGUUUCUGAGGAAAAGUACAUGAGAUCUCCAAAUGAAGAAGACAUUGCUAGGUUACUUGCAAUAGGUGAGGAAAGAGGAUUACCUACAAUACUGCCAGUGAUAUGCACAAACAAUACAGAAGUGAGAACACGAAUUGUUCUCCUUGCCUACAAUAUUGCCAGUGAUUGAUUCCCCCCAUAAUUCACUUCUAUUGCAUUCUUGAAGCAGCAGCAGCGGGUUCNNNNNNNNNNNNNNNNNNNNNNNNNNNNNNNNNNNNNNNNNNNNNNNNNNNNNNNNNNNNNNNNNNNNNNNNNNNNNNNNNNNNNNNNNNNNNNNNNNNNNNNNNNNNNNNNNNNNNNNNNNNNNNNNNNNNNNNNNNNNNNNNNNNNNNNGUGCGCCCCAGACCUCUCUGGAAUGGAAAAUAGAAGGGAGGGAGAGAGCUUACCAGAGGGGAGUGGUCGCCGGCGAGCUUCGAUGGCCUUUGGACGGAGGCGGGAGCAGCUUGUUUCCCUUUCCACUAGCGUGGCCGAGCCGUGUGUAUUUGCACGAGAAGUAGCGUUGUGGAUGGACAUGUAAAACUUCCACGUCCGUAUACACGAUCCACUGGGAAGUGUUUUUCAGUUUUCAUAGUAUAUAUUUAGUUUUCAUAGUAUAUAUUUACCAUCCAUCCGUAGAUGCUCUAACAAGUUCCAUCCGUAGAUGCUCUAGGCAUGGCACAACGACGUAUGUCGUUGGGACAGCCGAACGACAGGCGUGUGGCGCAGUCAGGGGGUGGGGUGCCUAGAGAGGCCUACACGCCGCGUGAACCCCAGCUUUUCCGUUGUUGGGCGAACCCCUCCGCCCCUCACCACCGAAGGAGCCCUCCGGAAAAGGCCAACUCCGGGAGCUUUCCUUUGCCCCCCACGCCACGCGGAAAGCGAAAGAGGUUAGCUAGCUUUCCAGCUCCAAAGUUGCAAGUGCGACGCCGCCCGCCCAUGGGUGGACGGACGGGUGGCGGCCUUCAGGUUCAGGUUUAGGCGGGCGGCCACCGGCCUGGCCGGUGAGAAGGACCUGGGACGGCAUUUUUCUUUCAGCGCACAGGGGAAGAAGAAUCCCCGCGAUGCCCAUGAUGGCUCGAUUUGUCAAACGCUAGCUAUAACCUAGAAAGAAAAGAAGAAAAGGAAGAAAAGGCUAAAACAGCAUGGCGAAAAUCUGAAGAGCUAAAGUCACAGGCCACAGGUCACGGAGUAGCAACACGACGCGCACCGCAAAUCUAUCUUAAAUUCCUUAGCUUGCAGGACAGCCGAUCGCCAGCCACCGGCCAAGGCGGCCAGCGGCGCUGCCGGCACGACCACCCUGGCUCGCCGUGGAUGACGCACCGUACUACCGCCGUAGUGCUAGUGUCCGCCCGUGGCCACGCAGCCGCGACCGCGCACGAGACGAGCGCAGCGAAAUGGCAUGGACGGACCCACCAACCCUAGGACCCCGAUCCGAUGGUCGUUCUCCUUCCAUCCAUCCUUGCCCCACCGACCCCGUGGCCUACUCCACGGCUGUUCCCGAGCUGGCCUCCACCCCACCCUCGGGGUCACUGCACUGUCGCUCGGCUCCGCUUACAACAAAUCCAGUAGAAAGCAACAAAGAAUUCCUCGCCUCGAGAUGCCACAUACCACCAGUGGUCGCGUGGAGCGCCACUACAGUACCAGCGGUUUUUUAAAGGUGACCAGACCAGAUCUGCCCCUGCCCAGCCUCAGAUCCAUUCCGCUUCCGCCCGCGUGAUGCACGUACGAACGAGCACGAGCAUUCUAGUGCUAGUUGCUACUAGCACUAUACCAAUACGUACUAUAUAUGUAUACUACACCCUCCAAGAUCCGAUCUGCUGGAGCAACUUAGAGCUAGAAAUCAAGCUACGAGCUACUGUAGUUAUGGACGAAGCUGCAAGAACAGAGUGUAAUAAGCAGCGACGGAGAAAGAAUAAUAAUGAUGAUACAUAUGGUGAGAGGAAUUAACUGGGGGAUUGUACAAUGGAUAUGGAUCGAGCACCACCAGCAACGACGGCCAAACAAUCAGAUCUGUCCACGCCCAACACACGCAUAACACGGAGGAGUGUCCUACUACGAAUCCGAAUGCCGAAUGUAAUAAUCAUCAACGCAACAACAACAAAAGAAGAAGAAAAAAAAGGAAGAUAAACAGCUCCAAGAACACCACCACAAAAGGAGAGGGAGCGGGGCCCUCGGAUAAAUUAAAUACUCUUGCAGGCAGCCGAUCUGCCGCGGGGGCGGGAUCUCUCAGUAGAAGGCGGCGGCGGCGGCCACGGCGGCGGUGGCGACCCACGCGGCGGCGGGGUGGACGCCGGCGGCGGCGCUGGCGGGGGUGGUGGGCGCGUCCAUGGACGGGGCGGGGGACGGGCCCAUCAUCGACGGCUCCGGCGGCGAGCUCAUGUNNNNNNNNNNNNNNNNNNNNNNNNNNNNNNNNNNNNNNNNNNNNNNNNNNNNNNNNNNNNNNNNNNNNNNNNNNNNNNNNNNNNNNNNNNNNNNNNNNNNNNNNNNNNNNNNNNNNNNNNNNNNNNNNNNNNNNNNNNNNNNNNNNNNNNNNNNNNNNNNNNNNNGGGGGAGGCAUGACCGGGGCCACGGCCGGCGGGGGAGACACCGGCGCCGGGGUCGGCGGCGGCAUCAUCGGAGGCGGGGACACCGGGGCCACGGGGGCCGGCAUCGGGGUGGCCGCCGGGGCCUGGGCCGCGGUGGCGGCGAAGAGCAUGGUCAGGGCCAGAGCCACCAGCUGGAUGCGCGCCAUUGGAGGAGUGAAGAGGAGAGCUUGAGCUUGAGCUUGAGCUUGAGCUUUGCUUUUGCUUGAGGUGGUGCUGCUGCUGGUGUACUGUAAUGGUGUCCGAGACGGUAUUGGGCCGGGAGAUUAUAAAGGGGUCGCGGACGGGGCUACGACGACGAAUUAUAUGAAGACCCAGGGGGCUCCGUGCUAAUUUCCGAUCCUGGUAGCCGUCCGAUCGACAUCCGACGGCUCGUAUGGUUGGAAAGCUUCAACUCUUUUUUCUUCCCCAAACUUCUGACUUCUGAACAGCAAGCAAGUUUCAGAAAAACAAGCUAAAUCCCAACAGCUGGCGGAGAUCAUGUCAUUUGGUUCACGGGAAAUUCUCUCGCGAUAUAAGAGUCUGGUGAUUAUUUGCUUUCCUUUUUUUUGUCAUGGUUCACGCGUAAUUCUGGUCGACGGUGAGCUGGGUUUCCUUCCUGUUCCGUCUUGCCUAAUUUUGUCUUGGGGGUUUGAAAAUCGUGUGCAUAAUCCCACCCCUAUCUUCGGUUCAUGGACCCGAUCAAUUAGUCCAUUGCAGAUAUUUGCGGUAAAAUAUUAUGGACGAUCAAUGCAAAAUGGCAAGCAGCUAAUGAGCCAAUUGGCCCACGCGUUUGCAGUGUUCUUUACAACGAUAACAAAAUGUCAGACUUUAAAACAAUGUUAACUUCGAAAGUCAAAGUUUUUUUACAUGGGUGGCACACAUGCAUGUAAACGGACACGCACGCGUAAAUGUGAAAUAGCAAGUGGUAUUUGCUAAUGAGCCGACUGACCCACGCGUUUGCGGAGCUAGUGCAUCGAGUUUUUUCUACAAGAUAAUAAAAGGUCGGAUUUCAAAAACAAAGUUACUUCCAAAGUCAAAGUGCUUUUUCUCGCAAUUACGUUGGUGACGCACACGCAGACACGCACGCGCAAAUGUGAAAUAUCAAGUGCUUGUUAAUGAGCCGAUUGGCUCACGCGAUUGCGAUGUUUGUGCACUGAGUUUUCUUUACAAGGAUAAUGGAGGUCCAUUUCCAACAACAAGGUUGCUUCCAAGGUCAAGGUGCUUCUUUAUGCAGUUACAACACACAUGUAGACACGCACAUACACACACUCAGAACCUUGCAUAUUUUCGACAUUUUUCUCUUCUUUUUUGAGGGCAGGUUCAGCCCAUCAACAUGUGAAAGUAAGCACCCGUGACUGUGCAAUGUUUAGUUGAGGUAAAAGUGGAGAAAAUAACCAUCAAGUGAAUGGGGCGACUCAUUCCAAGAUGAUUUACCAAUUUUCGUGUGCGGUUUUUCCUGUAUGAUUGGAUGAAACUUGUGCGUGUCAAAUCAUCGAAUAUCGUCAUCUUUCUCACCGAAAGAUCAAUAACCAACAUUGUCUCAUCAAUUCGUGAUGUAUGGUGUUCCCUCGUAUGCAUCAUAUUUUUUGCUCUAUAAACAAAACUUACAAAACUAACAAGAGGUCCACAUUGUGUAUGUGUGCACACGCGCGGCGUGGGACAAUUAUAACAAAAAUGUCUUUCUAUAAAAUAGACAUAAAAUAGAGCUCCUUGUUUUGAUCAUUUGAUGAUAGCAUCAACCAGCUAAGAUUAGUUGCCUACAAAAUAAAUACCUUAGCAAUGAAAUGAUUGGUUUGGUGCUAAUCAAUGGAGCGCACGUUGUCCUCACCAAUUCUAUAUUGAGCCGUUGGUGAAUGAUGGGUUGCUGUCAGCGUUUCUCCAUCAAAAUCUUGGGUUUACAAAAGAACGAUACGAGAAAGUAAUCACACUAACACAGACGGUUAGGAAAACAAGAGAAAAUUCUACUGUCAAGUUAUCUCUUCCGUGUAUUCUUCAUGCACAUUUUUAUUUUAUUUUUGCACAUUGUUUGGCUUGCAAGUUUUAGUCUCCUGCCUAUUAUGUUAGCUGGAAGGAGAUAAAGUUCUUGGUCCCCGACGAAAAAUAGGUUCACUUGGGAGGACAAUGGUGUACAGCCUAACCAAACCCUUUUCAAAACCUAAAGCUCCACACGUUCAGGUUGCUCGAUUUGGUCCAUAAGGGUAUACCUAACGCGCCAAAUGUUUCCAAAACCUAAUGUGCCCCGUUUUUUUCCUUCACAAUAUCCAUCUUGUUCCACAAGAUAAAUCCAGAGAUUUCCAACCUAACCAUACCCUUCCAAAACCCAGCGCUCCACUCCUCCAACGUUCAUAUUCUUUGGACAAGAGAUACACACGAAUACACUUGUCUGGUUCCUAACCACCAUGUGGAAGAGUGUGAUUAUGCUAGUUGAUAGGCAGCUCUGAAUCAGACCGACAAUAGGAAGCCCCUAUCUGGAAGCAAGAGUUCAA